AGAGUACGAGUACGGCUAACAAUAGUAGUGUGUUACACUAACAUGCAUAGUCGUGUGUUAAUUUAUCUCAAUUUGAAUCUGAACUCUAAAUUUUGCUGGUGCAAGAUAACUUUAACUAUUUAGAUUAACGGUGUAUAUAUUGACAAUAUACACAUUAAUACUCUUGAAUGGACGUUAUAUGUACAAAAAAAAUAAUAAAGUUUAAAUUCAAAUUAAAAUUAAAUGACGUGUAUCCAAAAGUUAGUGCACACACUAUCACUAUCAAUGUAUACACGAUUAUUCUUUAGUUAUUUAUUCAGAACAAGAUUUCUAGAUUUAAAAUUUUCAAACUAAGAAAGAGAACAAAUUCAAACAAUUAGAAAGGAAAUCACAAAAAAAAAUUAUGCCUUGCUUGGAUUGCUUGUUUCCGUUGAAAAAUAUUAUCGUAUUCCGUGAUCAUAUUUCUCUAUCACCUUUUUCCCUCACAUAUAUCAAAUCGCUACCAUAAUUUUUUCAUGAAAAAUGACGGAAAAUGCAAUCCAAACACAACCUUAGUGAAUCACCGCAUUUGCUUACGGGCAAAAAAAAAAUGAUUAAAAGAAUUACCGAAUCUUAGAGUUGCCUUUCCUUACAACAGGGUGGGUGUCGCCUUUUUGGAAGACUUUAACGAGGACCAAAACAUCACAGACUUCCAAAGUUAGCAAUUUCCAAAACCAAGCACAAAGCACACGAACUCCUUUGCCUUCCCUAAUCCCUAUCCUACAUCUGCCUAUUUUAGUGGGGCACUCCAAACGAAGAACCAACAACUUCCCUAACCCAACUACACAACACUAAUGCCGUACCAUCCUACAUAUAUACAUAUUCACAAGGAACCAUGCCCGCAAUUAGCUUUAUUAUAUUUAUACCACCACCAUCAACCUUAACCAUACCACCUCCCUGUACGACAAGACACGACGAUCGAGACACCACCAAAGCCACCACUCUCUACGGAUAUUUUCAUCCCAUCAUCCACCCAACACCUCAACCUUAGAAUUUCUUCACUUUCCGGCGACAAUAAACGUGGAACCGUAUUCUUGUUUUUGGUUUAGCCAUGGACUUGGGUAAGUUUGUAGUGCAAGUGCUAUUCUUUUGCUUUUGCAUGCUUGUGCAGUUAAAUUCGUGCUAUUGCUCCAAGAAGGAAUCAUCAAUACUUUUAACUCUCAAAGCCCAGCACAUAUCUUCAAUGUCCAUCCCCAAGGCGCCCAACCGGGUCGCUUUUCACCAUAAUGUUUCUCUCACGGUUUCACUCACCGUUGGCUCACCCCCACAGCAAGUUACCAUGGUCCUCGACACAGGCAGUGAACUCUCUUGGCUUCACUGCAACAGAACACCAAACACCCUUUCCCUUUUCAACCCACAACUCUCUACUUCUUACUCGCCCGUGCCUUGCUCCUCACCCACAUGCAGGACCCGGACACGGGACUUCACUGUGCCCGUUUCUUGCGACCCGAAAAACCUCUGCCACGCUAUUCUCUCCUAUGCCGACGCCUCCUCCGUGGAGGGAAAUCUUGCUACGGAUACUUUUGCAGUUGAAAAUUCGAGCAUGCCCGGCUUGGUAUUCGGGUGCAUGGACUCCGGUUCGAGUUCUACCCCGGAAGAGGAUGCCAAAACAACCGGCUUAAUCGGCAUGAACAGGGGGUCCUUAUCUUUCGUUUCCCAAAUGGGUUUCCGGCAAUUCUCUUACUGCAUAUCGGGUCGUGACUCGUCGGGCGUGUUGCUCUUCGGGGCAGCCAAUUUUCCGUGGCUUGGGCCGCUGAAGUACACGCCAUUGAUACAAAUGUCUACCCCUUUACCGUACUUCGACCGGGUUGCCUACACGGUUCAACUCGAAGGGAUUAAGGUUUCGGAUACGGUGCUGCCGUUACCGAAGUCGGUAUUCGUGCCCGACCACACCGGGGCGGGUCAAACAAUGGUUGACUCGGGCACCCAAUUUACAUUCUUACUCGGCCCGGUUUACACUGCACUGAAGAACGAGUUCGUGAAGCAAACCAGGGGCGUCCUGAGGUUAUUGAACGAGCCAAAUUUUGUGUUUCAAGGGGCCAUGGAUUUAUGUUAUCUAGUAGAGUUGAGUCGUGCAACUUUGCCGCCAUUGCCUGCUGUAGCGCUGAUGUUUCAAGGGGCGGAGAUGAGUGUUGCAGGGGAGAAAUUACUGUACAAAGUUCCAGGUGCAACGAGGGGAACUGAUGGAAUCUACUGUUUCACGUUUGGGAAUUCCGAUUUGCUGGGGAUAGAGGCGUAUGUGAUUGGGCACCAUCACCAGCAAAACAUAUGGGUGGAGUUUGACCUUGCACAGUCCAGACUUGGCUGGGCAGAGGUUAGGUGUGAUUUGGCAAGUCAAAGGCUAGGCCUGGGUCAUUAGUUUUGACUUUUUAUGUCUUGGUUGUACUUUUAGUUAUUGCUAAUAUAUGAUAGAGUAGCUAUCCCAUUGGGCAUAUGGGAAUGGCUGUAGUAGGUCUAGUUUGAUAUAUUUAUUUAGAUAGAUAUCUUUUACUAGUUUUUUUUCAUUUGUUUUUUUGUGGUUGUGUAAUCCAACAUAGGCCAAUCCCUAGGUUACAUCCUCCUUGGCAUGUAAUUAUGGGAGUACAAUUGUAAUGUGGAGAGGUGACCGAUUGAUAGGACUGUGAUGUGAAGGAGUUUUCAUUUUGACAAACGGAAUCUGCAAUUGUGUGAAAAAUAUAUGGACGCAAUUUCUCGAGCAUUAUUAAUUGCAAACUAAGUUGAAACCAGUUCAAUCAUCAAUGUCAAUUUUCGUUUAGUUUGGAUUUUGACAAAAAAGGAACUCGCAGUUUCGUGAAAAUUGAUGCAACUUCUUGUGCAUUAAUUGCAAAUUUAUUUGUCAAAAUAUAUUUGCUUACAUCAUAAUUACAAUUUCCAACGCACCUUUUUAUUUUUUUAAUUAUCUUUUUAUCUCACAUACAUCACAUCACAAAAAGUGCUAUAGUAAAAAUAUCUCUAAUAAUUUACAAUCCAAACAAACCCAGUUCAAUGGCAAUUUGAUAUAGGCUCAUUUUAGUUUUGAUUGAGAAAAUUGGAGAGAAGAAGAAAGAAGAUGAAUUGGAGGAAUUUGGUGCUUGUUGUUUGGAUUGAUUUUUGAGGGCUAGAGGAAAUAGAUAAAAGAGUGACAAGGUUUAAUGUUUGCUGCGUUAUGGUUCGAAAGUGGGCCAAAACUAAGGCAAGCGAAACUAAAUUCAUUAAAAUAAUUUAAUUUUUUAAAGAUCAUUUUUUUUCUCUUUCUUUUCCAGUAAAUUAACACUUGAUCUUUUUCUUCUCAAUUCAAACAAAAAUUCAAUAUUUUCUUUUUUUCUUUCCAUACUUAAGUAAAACAAAAUUUAUGGAAAUCAUUUUUCUCUACUCUCCUUUCCUUUCUUUUCCAUUAAUAUCCCUUCCCUUUCUUUCAUUCAAUCCAAACGGAUCCUAGUUUGGAUUUUUGACAAAUGGGAAUUUACGAUGGUGUGAAAGGUGGUUCAAUUUCUUGUGCAUUAAUUACAAAUUAAGUUGGAGCCAGUUCAACAACAAUUUAAUUUAGUUUGAAUUUUGAUAGAAGAAAUCUGCAAUUGUGUGACAAUUGCUGUUGUUUGUUGUGCAUUAAUUUACGAGUUAAGUUGAAACCAGUUCAUUGGCAAUUUGAUUUAUUAAAAAAGUUUUAUACUGAGGGACAUACAACUGCUUUUGUUGUGCAUUAAUUUACAAGUUAAGUUGAAACCGGUUAAUUGGCAAUUUGAUUCCUUAAAAAAUUUUCUACUAAGGGACAUACAACUUGUGUGAUAGACAUGAACUAAAUAAUGCAGUUUGGUUUUUAGAUAUUUGUUACAAUUUUGUCGCCGUACACGUUACAUUUUUUUACUAGGAAUUUAAAAAAUUUGUGUACCAGAUGUGCUUAAAUAUUAUAAUACUGGGUUUUAAAUUUAUUUUUGUCCAAAGUUUGAGUACCAAAAUAACGGCUGAAGUUUAGAUAUCAAAACUGCAAUCUAGUUUUCUGAUGUUUAGGAAUUCUCAAUUUCCCAUAUUUGUAUCGAUUGUUUAGACAUAUACUACCUUGUUUUUAAUCGUUUUUCUAGGUGGACUCUUGACGUACGUUAUAUUUGUUGCAUCUUUCUCAGUUCUUCAUCAAUCAUCCGACAAUAACAUUAACGUUUGAAGCUCAUUGUACAUGUGUUCUUUAAUUCCUAACUGUAAGUCUUGUGUCUGUAACAUUAACGUUUCCCCAACUCUAGAAGUUCAUUGUAUACGUGCUCUUUUGCGGUAAUACCAAUUCGUGCUUGGGUUAAUGACUUUCGGGAAUGGCGUUUAGCAAUUGUUUUGCUCAUUGACAUAAAAUUUUGCACCCAUAAUUGGCUCGUUAAUGCCUCUAGUUUCAAGUUAUUCCUACUUCCAAUCCCGUACACUGCCUUGGGUCGAGGUUGGUAGAUUUGGGUAAUUAUUACAUCGUCUAUCAUGUCAUUCGUCUAACGUACUACUACUUCCUAGUUUGUUGUGCCACUCUUAUUUUGAUGUUAACUGGCGAGUCCACGUUUGUUGUUAGUAGUUCUUAAUGCUGGUUUUUGACUUUGAAAAUCCCAGUUGGCUAACAUGUAGACUCAGUCGGCGGUUCAGUCUCCACCGAUUCCUCUAGACCCCAUUGAACCUCCUUCUUAAAUUAGAAUGGUACUCCCUCCAUUCCACUUUGAUAAUCCUGUAUUCUUUUUUUAUCUGUCUCAAAUUGUAGUCCACUUUCCAAUUGAAGAAUGUAGUUGUAUUUUAAUUUUUUUAAAACAUCCUUAUUCAAUGUAAGUAGUUGUUACUAUAAAUCUACCCCAUUUAAUGAGAGUUGAUUCUUUUAUUACCAUCAAUUCAAGUUCUCAUAAAGUUGUACCAUAUUUAAUGUGAGGGUAUUUUAGAAAAAUAGUAAUCUAAAUUUACUUUUUCAAUAAAAUUAAUUAUUUUUUCUUAAACUGUGUGGAAAAAGAAACAAGGCUAUCAAAGUGAGACGGAGAGAGUAUAAGAUUGACGAUUGAUUAAAAAAGAAGAAUUUUGGCUAACAUCUAGACGCGGUGACACCCCAAGAAUGAUUUGCUUAUUCCUCGGUCACCUUCACCAAUCUCGUGCCGGGAAACUUCUGAACAUUAGCUGUCUGCCACCGUACUAUUUCCCAGUAGUGGUUCCAAAGAUUAUCAAACAUUCAAUUUUGUUUUUUUUGCCAAUAACGCUUAGUGCUAUCGCUGUAUACACUUUUAUGAUUAAAUGCAUAUAUAUAAAAUUUAAAAUUAAAAUUAAUUAUUAUAUAUUUAACGAUAGUAGUAUAUAAAUUGUUAGUAUAUAAAAGAUUAUAUUUUUAAUUUGUCUCCCUCCUCCUCCUUCACCCCUAGCCUGACCCAAAACAAAAAAAAAAAAGAAAAAAAGAUAACUGGUGGCCUUAACCCAAGCGGAAAGGCAUGGCAAGGGAAAUUGGGAUUUGGGUUUUCUAUCGUCCUUUGAUUAUUCGGUGAAAACAGGCCUGAGGCCUUUGUCCAAACAGACGAAACCAUCGUUUUCCGUCCCAGAUUGUUGGUGCCAGGAUAGGAAGGGGCCGGGGGUAUUAAAUUAACAGUAGACAAUGGAUAAUCAAAGGGUGGGCCUCGUGGUCACACAAUUGAUUACCAAACUAAAUUGGAGACCCCCUUGAAAAAGACCCUGUGCAGUUAAUGCAAAUUGACUACCUUUACCCUUUAGCUCUGUGGUCUGUAGAUAGAUGGCUGAUUCCUCAAUCAGACAGCUGUUGUUUGACAAAACAGUGGAAAUCGUAACUUGCAUGAUCUGCUCCGUUGCAACGACGUUCUUUUCUGUUUCUUUUUCGGCUAAAAUAAUUGCUCCUUUUGUAUUAGCUAUUUUUGGGAAUAUUUUAAAAAAUUUUACCACAGCAGAGUUUCUAGAAUAUAUAUUGAGAUAUUUUUAAAAAAUAUUUUAAAAUAUUUAAGAGUAGUAGAGUUUUUAAAAUAUAUUUUGGGAUAUUUAUGAAAUAUUAAAAAAACGUAGACUAUUUUUUAGAGUAUUUUUUUAUAAUUUUUUAUAAUAUUUAAAAAACUAAAGGAUCCAAACAAAUUCAACAAGUUUUCAUUCAUUGAACAGUUAUUAAUACUAGUGCCUGAAACACACGCUAAUGUUUGUGCAGUUAAAAUAUAUAUUUAUAUAUAUUUUUUAAAACAAUUAUUUCUUUAUAAUAUGUUUUACUGGUCAAAUUGUUUUAGAUAAUUGUACAUAAAUAUGAUGAAAGUUGGCAAUUAGUGUGAAAAAAUGGAUAAAUUCAGCAAUUAACCACUGCUGAUUCAAAUAGCUCAUUGCUAAUUGUGGAGAAGUUUCUUUUUCAUAAAUUGGGACAAAUUUACCCUUGUUAUUAAGGGAAUGUUAGAAAUUUUAAAAAAUGACAUUAUGUAUUUAUUCUGUGAUGCUCUCGUUAUAUAUAUAUAUAUAGAGAGAGAGAGAGAGAGAUAUAUAUAUAUAUAUAUAUAUAUAUAUAUAUAUAUAGAUAUUAAAAUUACAUUCAACCCGUCGUUUUAUCGUAAUCGAGGGACCUACCCAACCGAAGGCCGCAAUGAUGUGCUCUGAUAAAACUGGCGUGCAACGCGGUGAAUGCAUGGUGGUCUGUGGCAAGUGGACGACUACCACCUACAGCUUGCUGUUUGGACCCAUGCAUUGGACCCUUUGAUUGUGAGGUCAUCAGACCCCGAAUUCUCCCCAAAAAAAGACCAAUAAAAAUCUUGGUCACCAGACCCCCAAAUAAUCCGUAUCAAAACUGUCGGUAAUAUUAACGAUCGACUCGAGGACCCUCUUAAGCCCGUUUCGAUUGAUUACGGAUUUUUAAGAUAGGUUCAUCCUUUCAAGGAGUCAUAGGGUGGGUCGUCACCCAUGAGCCCACCAUUUAGUUUACAGAAGUUGCGUCCAUGUUUGGGCCGAAAACGUCACUAAUGCAGUUUCACUCUUAAAAUGUUUUGGGUAGAUUAAAACUUUCUGCGUUAUCUUGCAGGCCGUUUGGAAAAGAAGUUUUUUUGUCGAAUUUGUCUCUUUUCAGUUUUUCAAUAACAUUACUUACAGUAAUUUAAAAAAUUUUAUCAAAAUUUUAAACUACGUCCCAAAAAGAAACAGAAGAGCAAGAAAAGUUUUCCAUCUUAAAACAGAAGAAAAACUUCUCAAAGUUUUUUUUUAAAAAAAAAGAAAGAAAGAAAAAAAAAAUUUUCAUCUUAAAAUUUUUUCCUAUUGGGCUUUUUUAACCUACACAUUUAAAAUAUCCACAAAAAAAAAAAAAACUUCCUUUCCUUUUUCUUCUUCUUCCUCCCCCACCACUACCUCUGUCAACUGCUCUGUUACCGGCCACCACCUCCACCGCCAGUUCCGGCGCCGAUCACCUUUUCCGGUGCCGAUUUUUUUUUUCCCUUUUUCCCUCUUCCCCUGCAAGUUUUUUUUUCUCUCUGCGUCUCCCCCCCUCCUCCCCCACCACCCUUCCCCUUCCUCUCUGGCCGAUCUGGUCGCGAGACCAGAUCGCACCGAGGGAGGGUGGCAGGGAAAGGGGGGAUUUGCCCAAAAAAAAAAAAAAUUUGACGGGGGGCGGGAUUCGGGGUGAUAAACGGGAAGGGGAAUAGGGGAGGGGGAAGGGCCAAGGGGGUGACGGGGGAGGGGGAAGGUGGCGAGGGGGUGGCGGGGUAAAGGGGAAAGAUGGGCUUGUUUUGAAGUUGCGGGGGGAGGGGGUGGCGGAGGAAGGGCAUAGGGGAGGGCAGAGGGAAGCGAGGUGAGGGGGUGGCGGGGGGAGGGGGAAGGCGGGCAGAGGAGGUGGCGGAGGAAAGGGGUGGAGGGGCAGAGGGGGAGAAGCAAAGCAGGGGGUGGCGGGAGGUGGCACUGCUGGAGGCAGAGGUAACGGGGAAGGGGAAGAAGAAGAAGAAGAAGAAAGAAAAGAGAAAGAAAAGAAAAAAAAAGAAAGAGAAAGAGAAAGAGAAAAAGAAAGAAAAAAAAAGUUUUUAACCCUACAAAAACUUCUAUAAAAUUUUUCUCCUUACAAAAAACUUUUACAAAAUUUUUUCAAAAACUUCUACAGUGCACUACAGUAAAGUUUUAGACAAACUCCCAAAAAAUUAGGUUCCAAACAGGCCCAUAGUAAAGUUUUAGACAAAUACCCAAAAAUUCAUUUGUCAAACGGGACUACUUUUCAUUUCUGGUGGUGUUUUAAAUUAAAUUUUAUUGCCAAAUCUUUUUCCAAAUGGGGGUGGUUGUUUAGUUCCAAAAAGGGAAAUGAAGGAAUAAGGUACUUCGACAUGAACAGAAGGUGAAUUUGAAGGACGAAAUUAAUAGAAACAAGUGACGAUCACCCUGCCUAUCCAUUCCCAAGCUUCCUUUCAAAGAUGCCCCAAGAAAAAACACAGGCAAUGAGCUCUCCUGGCUUCACAGCAAGAGAACAUCACCAAUCUUUUCCAUCUUCAAUUGACAACGCUGUACUUUUUCUUUUUUUUUUUUUUGAUAAUGGACAGCGCUGUACUUCUUAGUCUCUGUACCGUGCUUCCGUUUCUUGAGACCCGAAAAAUCUUUCCCAUGCUAUUCCCAAAAUAGGAUUAAUUUCACUUAGCACCCUUUAAUCAUAUUCCACUUUUCACUUUGGUCCCUAAGUUUCAAAGUGAGAUACUUUAUUUCUUAAAAUAUAAAACUUGUCCCACUUAAUUAAAAUAAUCAACAGAACUAAGGCAUAUUUUAUUUUGGCCACUAAAAGUGGGAUUGGCCUAAAUUCAUAUUUAUUUUUGCCACCAAAAAAAUAGAAUCUAAUUUUUUUGUACAUAAAAAAUGAUUGCAUGUGGAUUAUGUAGUGAUUUUAGAUUAAAAAUUUGUCAAAAAUUUAGGUUGGGAUUAAAUUUUACUAACUUGAAUUUCUAAGGGAUGUAAAAUAAAAAUUUUAAAAGUGAAUAAUGAAAAAAUUCAUUUGGUAAAAUGUGUGGGAUGUUUUCAAUAAAUUUUCCUUAUAUUUAAGUAGGACCAACUUUAUAGUUUAGGGACUAAAAUCAUUGAUAUGUGUGAGAUAGAAUUUAUACUUAAAUAGGAUGCAUUUUAUACUUUGGAAGCUUAAAUGGAACAGAUUUUAUACUUUAAAUACACAAAUGCAGUGCUUUGAAAUUAGACAUCAAAAUAAGAAUCUAAAUAUAAGUGAAGAGUGCAAAGUGGAAUUAACCCUCUCAAACAUGCGAUGCUCCCGGUGGAAGGAAAUCUCGCUGCAGAUACUUUUUGUGGUUGAUAAUUCAAGUGCAUGAAUUUUUUUGAAAAAAAAAAGAAAAAAUAAGGGUUGAUUGACAUCACCCGUUGGAAUACAUUCCACAAUCCAAUGCACCCAUUUAUCACAAAAUCCAUUUCGAUCAUUAUAGCUUUCAAGAAAUGCCAUUCAACUCUAUGAUAGGCCAUGUUGUGGAGAGCCAGUAUGACCUAAUGAUCUUAAAUGCAUUUUUCCAGUAGUAAUUCUAGAUACUUUUACAUAUAAUGUAGGCAUUCCAAGGAAAAAUAAAUAUUAGGGGUGGCAAUUUCUAAAGCAACAUGAAUCUAACACGAAAUUAACGGGUUUGGGUUGAGGUUUCGCGGGUUUGGGUCAGAAUCGAGUCGAACCCGGUGAAUCCAAAAAUAAAACAAGUCGAAUUCGGGUCAACUCGUGGGUGAUCCGAUAACCCGUUUACGAAUUAAAAAUAAUUUAAUAAAUAUAAAAAAUAUUUUAUCUAACUAAACUAAGUUAUUCAUUUUUUUCCAAAGGUAUUAACCACUUAAUCCUAAAUGAAUUUGUUUAACUUGUGUGAAGUUGAAAUUAUUAUGUUUAGACAAAUAAUGUAAUACAUUAUUUUAUACUUUUAUACUAUUUUAAUUUAUUUUAUAUUUCGUUUGGGAUAAAAUGCUUUUAUGGUGUUUUAAUUUAUUUUAGAUCUGGUUUGGGAUUAUUUUAUUAAAAUUUUUAUUAUUUGAUUAUGUAAUUAACCUUGUGCGAAAUUAGUUUUAUUAUAAAUUAUAGUGGUAAAUUAAUAUAUUAAAACUAUGUUUUAGGUCAUUCGGGGUCAACUCGCCAGCACGAAAUUUUCGAGUUUGGGUCAGGUCUUCUGACCCGUUUUGGGUUGGCGGGUCGUGUUCGGGUAAGCGGAUUUUCUAUUAUUCCGAUCCUCAAUCCGACCCGCAAUCCGUUUCUGACCCGAUUGCCACCCCUAAUAAAUAUGUAGUCGGUGUGAAGGGACUCAAUUGCUUGGAAAAAGAUUCAUGAUUUUAAUUCAGAGACUAAUGUCUCAGCUCAGAGGCAAUGAAGGAUUUGGCAUUAGAUGGUUGAAAUUGGAGAAGAAAGCUUUGUUAGCAAAACUUAUAUGGUACUUGCUGAAGCAUAAUGAAGCCUCACGGGUUGGAGAAGCAUGGAAAAACAUGGGAAGGGGUUAAAUCGAGGUUAACGUGGAGAAUGGGUAGCAGGCGUGACAUAAACUUCUAGCUUGACAUUUGGUUAUUAUAUAGCUCACUCAUCCAUGUUGAUGAGAUUUUCCUUUUUUUUUUAAGGUAUUAUAGUCUGGCAAAUUUCUCAGAAUAAUGUAAUAUCACAAAAAUAGGGUUACUUGGGAUUGAGUUCUAGUUUAAGGGUCACUGCAAAUUAUAAAGGAGGUUUCAGAAAAAAAUUGUUUUAAAUUUCAUUUUUUUUCCUCCCAUGGAAAUAAAUGCAGCGAUGUAUAUAUAUAUAUAUAUUUUUAGGUGCAGCGAAGCUUUAAAAUUUUUUUAAAAAAUGAAAUCGCACUGAUUUUGCCUGUUAGCCCUAUCACACUAAACCCUAAUACGUAAACCCUAACCCUAAAAGUCUAAAAUUUAAUUUACCUACAAAAAUUGUGCUAACUUCAUAAAUGAUGUUUAAUUAUCCUAUAAAAAUUCGUUCAUUAUAUAAGAUAAAAUGAUUAAAUUUGGUGUUUUAUUUUUAAAAUCAUAAAAGUUAUUCUAAAUGCACCAAAUUUGAGUUUUUGUUAAAAGUACUUUUAACAUAAAAAACUUUACUCCUAAUUUUAUGGGAUGAUAUUUAUCAAAUACUUUAAAAUAUACUUGUAAGCUUCUAAAAGUAUUUUUUUACCAAAAGCACCGCAACUCCAAACGAGACCUAAAUUUAUCAUGUGACCUAUACAAGAUAAUUUUUUUGGUGGCAAAGAAGUUAUAUUCUAUUCGUAAUAAAAAUUUUUGAUCCAUAUUCAUUUUGUCCCCGCAAAAGUAGAAUCAAAUCCAAGUCAUAUUCGUUUUCUCUAAAAAAGUGGGACCGUAUCUAUUUCAUAUUUAUUUUUAUCACUAAAAAAGUGGGAUUUGAUCUUUUUAUACAUAAAAAAUUACUCUAUGUGGGGUUAAGUGGUGAUUUCAAACUAAAAGUGGUCAAAAACUUAAAUUAGAACCAAAAUUUAACGAUUUGCUUUUGUAAAUGAUGUAAAUUUAUUGUUUUAAAAGUAAAUGAUGAAAAUAUCUUUUAGUGAAUGUGAGGAAUCUUUUGAACGAUUUUUUCAUUGUAAAAUUUAUCAAUCCAUACAAAUAAGUGCUGUAAAAUUCAUAAUUGUAUCAAAUUUGUAUAAAUUUUACAUCACAUAUUAUAAGCAUCUAUAUAAUAUAUAAAGGGAAACACCACUAUAUGAUGUAAAUAUACAAUGUCACUUUUUAAAAUUUCUAAUAUACACUUAAUUAGAAUAACAAAUUUGUCCCAAUUUAUUCCAAAAUAAUCUCCCCAAUCACAUGAUAGUUAUUUGAAUCAAAAGAUAGUUAUUUAUUCAAUUAUCCAUUAAUUACAACUUCAUCACACAACUCUUAAUUAGAGAUGUAAAUCACAAUCAAAUUAUAUUGACCCAUCAAAACUUGUAUAUUAAUUUUGAAUGAGUCUAAACAGGUAUCCAAUUAAAUACAUUUAAUUAGUAGGUAAUGAGUUGACACGACUUACUUAUUUAUACUCGUUUAAAAAUAAUUAUACAUUUAAAUUUAACUUUUAGUAAGUGCUAAGCAAAUACAUUUAAAUUUCUUACCAAUCUAAUAACAAUAAAAUACCAUUAAUCUUAUCAAACAACAUGCGAACAAAUAAAAAAAUAAGUAGAAUUUUAAAUGAAUCAUAAAUAAGUAAUUGGGUAUAAUCAUACUCAUUUAUUAAAUGAACAUAAAUGAAUUAAUCUAAUUAUAUCAUUAUUUAAUUAUGAUCUAUCCAAAUCCGUUCGAAUCAAUUAUUUUGAUACUCUGCUCCUAACCUACAUAUUUUGUUCCACUUCCAUUAUCUUUUUAAUAAAAUUUAACCCAUAAAACUCAUAAAAAAUGCUUUUUAAAGAGAUAAUUUUAAUAAAUAUAUUUUUUUAUGAACUGCACAUACAUUUGGAGCGUGGCUUAAGCACUAGUUAUAGUAAUCGAACCGAAUUGGACAGGCUCCAGCUCCGUUAUAUUCGUCCCAAAAAUUAAGCAGAGCAACUGUUUCCAACCAUCCAUAGCUUUUGUGGGUUGAAAAAAUGUUGCACCAGAAAAGAGACAAAAUUUAGAAAAAGCCACCAGUUACCGAGUCAGCUCUUGUCCCUCUCGCGUCCCAAACUCAUUCUUUGUCCUUCUUGACCCUGAACGAAAAUAGAAAAUCCUCGCAAAUAACCAAAAAAUAAAUAAAAAAGAAAAAGAGUAGAGAGUAAUAAGGACGAGAGACUUCAGAGAGGGAAAGGGGAGGAGAUACGAAAGAUUUCAUUUUUAAUUUAUGAAUGCCAUUCUUCUAAGUCAUCUCGAUCUCUUUCUUCCCCAUUCAACCACUUCCUGUAAGUCCAUUAUCAUUUCCGCAUAUUUAUGUAGCUGGAAUUUUGACGAUUUUGAUGAAAUGCUAUGAUUUUGUUUCGUCAAUGAUCAAUUUAGAAAGAGAUUAUUAUCUAUUUUGUUACUGAAGCUGAAUUUUUGUUCAAUAAUUGGAGAAUUGUGACUGAUGAGAAAGUGUAUUAUUGAACCCUAGUUACCAAAUUUGUGUACUAACCUUUUCCCUUCUACGCAGAAAGAAAUAGAUUGUUUUAAUCAAAAUUAAGUUUGGGUAUCUAAUUAAUUAGUGAUUCUACUUCCGAAAUUGUGACAGUGCUUUUUUUUUUUCUUUUUUUUUUUUUGUGUGCUUUUGAGUGUUGAUGGGAGUUUGUGAUUCGAUAUAUGACAAAAAAUUGGGUUUCUGUGUAAAUGGACAGGAUUGGGAACGAAUUCCUACUUUCUUAUGUUAUGUAAAUGCAAAUAAUAAUGGCACUAAUAAUUGUAUUUCCUUAAAUCUUCGUUGUCCUGUUACUGUAUGAAUGUUGCUGUAUUUGGGCUAAAUUCUAGGUCAUUUCUGUUGAAAGUACUGAGUAACUCAAUGAUGAAGGACUGCUGUGAAAAGAGUUAAUGGGCUGUCUAUGCGUUGGCUCCUGUGCAUCUGUUUACUGAACUGUUUUUCUUUUUAGUGACUUGUAUGGCAUUUUAGGAAGUUCCGAUUUUAGCCGCACAAGGCAUCAACUCAUGCCAUUGGAGAGUGCAUGCAGGAUUUCACCGAACAAAAACUGAUAAGGAUGACAACAGCUCCUUUUAAUACUAAGGACCUAGUGUUUGUUAUGCUACUGAUACAACGAUUAUCUUGAUAUCAGCACCAGGUCCUGAAUUGAUUAUCUUCAAACCUAGAAUCAUGAAAUGGGACACUUGUUUAUUAAGCUUUUCAUUAGAAUUUUUAAAUAGAGAUAAGGAAAUGGCUAAGGAAGAAAAUGGUGACGAAUUUUAAGGAAACGGGAAAGAAAAUAGUUAAGAAGAUGAGAGACAAUUAAAGCAUUGUUCAUUCAAUGCAAUUCUUGCCAGUUUUCCUUGAGUGGAUGGAAUUUUGAAAGGAUAGCAAUGGUCUGUUUUAAAUCUCAUGAUCUUCCUUGAAUUUCCAGGCCCCCCCCCCCCAAAAAAAAAAACUUACUUUUAGCUGUAUGUCGCAUGUCAUGCUUGUGUCCUUGUGAGGCGUGAUAGUAUGUCAAUGGGGUUUGAAUGGAAAUCUUUUUUUGCUCUCUCCCGCUCUCUUGCUCUCACUCUCUGUUUCAUCCUCUGGUUGUUGAAGUCUCUGGAGUCUCUGUGGAGAUAGAUCCACGUUUUGGAAAACAAGACCAUGAGUUUUGUGUUCCGAGGCACUAGAGCAGAUGUAGAAACUGGUUUCCCAGGGCUUAUUCCGGAGCGUCGUACAGUGGUAUUAAUCUUGUACAAUUUGUAAAAUUUACUUUACAUCAUUUGUAAAGUUACACGGUUCAAGAUGCCUUGUAAAACUGAUUAUGCUUCCAAACAUCUUUUACUCCUUUUGUUCAGCGUGUUCAUGGAGCCCGACCAGUUAAUACCAAUUCUCUUGCAUUUCUUGUUACAGGUGCUUACCUUUUAACAGUUUGGGAAUUUUUGGUUUUGAGUGACUCACUGAAAAAUUGCAAAAUAUAAUUUCUUUUUCUUUCUAUGAACCAGUUCUUUUGCUGUUCAUGAUUCUUAACUCCCAUCAAAUGUCACCCAACUUUCUGGUUAGUAAUCUCUUCACUGGUGAAUUGUUAGACUCUAUCUUAAUUUGGCACUUAUGAAAACCUAAGCUUUGCUUCCUUUUAGCUCUGGCUGGUACUUGCUGUCUUUUUGAUGGCAACAACCCUACGAAUGUAUGCAACUUGUCAGCAGCUACAAGCUCAGGCUCAAGCUCAUGCUGUGGCAGCUAGUGGCCUUCUUGGUCAUACAGAGCUGCGUUUGCAUAUGCCACCAUCCAUUGCCCUCGCAACCAGAGGGCGACUACAUGGUCUUAGACUCCAGCUUGCACUUCUAGACCGGGAAUUUGAUGACCUUGGUAAGAAUCUUUGAUUUUGCUCUAACACGGGAAAUAAAGAAAAACAAAUUUUGGCAUCCUUUUUUUUUCGCAUUUAAUAUCUGUCGGUUUGUUGGUUAAAACAAUAAGGAGAAAAAUGAACCAAAUGUUUUGUUGCUGUAUUCAGAUUACGAAACUCUGAGGGCACUAGAUGCUGACAAUGUUCCAACAGGUCCUUCAAUGACUGAGGAAGAGAUAAAUGCUCUCCCUGUUCACAAAUAUAAGGUUACUGGCCCUCAAAGGUAAGUCAGUAUGGUCCCUGCCCUCCCUGCCUUCCUAAUCCUGCUUUAUGCACCUUCCUCCCCCCCUCUCCAAAUAAAAAGCACUAGCAUUAAUUGGUCCUGUCCACCUGUGUCAGUGCUGCAUCUUGCAUAACCUACUCCUACAUUCAGAUGAUUAUAAUUAGGAGGGUGCCAAUCAACCUUCUUUUUGUGUGUUUGUAUUGAGCUUGUCUAUCAGCAGCUCAACUUUUGUUUGAAAAAUCACAAAAUAGUUGAUAGCUGCUUCUGCAAGAUAUCCACCUUGCAGGACUGGCAGAACUUUGGUCUAGUUAGCUUGGCAUAUUUAUAUGAAGUCUCAGCCUCUCACUAAGGAGGACGGGGGAUGGGGGUAUCUCUAAGUUUAAACAUUGUUUCCUUAUUUAUUUCCCUAAAUACAUGGAUGACUUGUAUAGUUGCUUUGUGUUUAUCUUGGAAUUAACAUGUCUUGAUUCUGCUUUUCUGGGCAGUGCUGGCUCAUCAGUUCAGCAGGCGGCUUCUUCAUCCUCAGUUGAGGUGGUUUCCUUUCUCCUUUUGCGCAAAUAUCAUAUCAUUCAGAUAGUUCUACCUAUUUUUAAGAUAUGAAAAUUUAUCUUCUCCCCUGUGUAUGCUACCAGAUUUAUUUGCAUCAUGGUCAUAGCUGUAUAUUUUGAACCAUGUAACAUUAUCUUUUGUUUUUAUCAGUCAGAAAACGAGUUCCCUUUUUUAUCAUUAGGUUCGUUCACUUUGAGAGGCUAACAUUGUUUGCCCAAAGUUUGUGUUUCAUUUGGUGAUACAUGGUUUUUGAAUAAUAAGCAUGUAAGUACUCGAAAAUCAAUCAGAUGUUUUUUAUCCACUAUAUUCCUUGUGUACUUUCCAGCAGAAUGUGAAAAAGGUCAAAUCAUUAUUCACCCUAAGGUGAUUUGCUUAGGUAAUAUCUUUUUUCGAUCCUAGAGGCUUUGAUUUCCUCGCAAAAACACAGAGAUGGAUUCUGUAUCCAAGCAUACAAUUUCUCUGGUCGCUUGCAUGAUAUAUGGAAAUUGCUCUGAUGAUCUAUAGAAACUGUAAUAACUUCUCUACUUCACUCACAAGCAGAAGAAGCAAGACCCUCCCAAUGCAGCUGGGGGCACAAAGGCCUGCGAUGAUGAACUGACUUGCAGUGUUUGUUUGGAGCAAGUUGAUGUGGGAGAACUUGUCCGCACUUUGCCAUGCUUGCAUCAGGUUUGUCUUGGUUUUGCAACAACAUUGGAUUCCUCUUCCUUCUUACUAAGUGGAAGUCAUUUUGAAUACAUCAUUUAGAGUUUCUUAUUGUGUUUCUGGUGUUUAACUACUCAAAAAACGACCUGUGCUCUGAACACAGCCUGAUGGGUUACAAUUGCAACUCUGGUACAUUAAGUGUCAUAAUGUCAACUCGAAGAUCUAAAUUUGGUCUUUCUGUGGGAAGACUUAAAUUUGGUCCUUAUUUCAAAAUUGAAGAAAUAUUGAAAGUGAGUAUGCUAGUGCAAUGCUCCAAUGACUAUGAUGUUUCUAGGAUACCAGGAAGAGUAAGUUAUUUGCUGCUCUCUAUUCGGAAUUAACUUCCCCUGCUAGACAAUAUCCUUGACAGAGUAGUUUCCACUGCAACAUGGGUGGAGCUAUGCUUAUAUUCUGUUAGUUCUCAAUACCGUAAAUCCUUGAAAUCAAGCUCAAUACGUUUUGGCAUUUAUAGCUCCUUAAUUUACAAUAGAAAUGGACGCUCAUGAUUUUGAUAAAGAUCUAAGAACUUGCCAUCUAAUGUUUUGGUCUUUUAUGACCUUGAAGCAUAUUUCAAAUUAAGAAUACUUAUUCACAGAGGCAGAUUAUCUCGCGGGUAGGUUGGCCUUGUAAAUGCUAUGCUUAAAAUUCUGGUUUUAACUUUUGCAGUUCCAUGCAAACUGCAUUGAUCCAUGGCUGUGUCAACAAGGAACAUGCCCUGUUUGCAAGUUUCGAGCUGCAUCAGGCUGGCAUCAGAAUGGCCGAGAGGAAGAAAUGGAUGCUUCAUACAUGGUGUAGUCCUUCCUCAGUAACCAUACUAAUAUGUCUUAGCUUACUCAUGCUUUGAAAUUAUAAAUCCGUUUACCAUUAUUGUAAUGAUUUUGGCAUAGCAUGAGAAUAAAUUGCUUUAAAUCACCUUUGAUAACAUCCAAAAUCCGAACACAAUUUCUCAUCCCCAACUUUAUUCGUGACCUACCUAAUGAUAGCUUCGUUGGGUAUACGGCAGAGUUGCACCAAAAAUCAACACUUUGUAGAUGGUUGGUAACAUGAAUCUCCUACACCGGACUAUGUUGGGAGGUUAUGGCAUUCGAUCGAAGAUAAGACAACAAUUGCAAUUUUAAUCAAACUGAGGCCGCGACUGUUUUCACUGAAUCAGUUCACUGCAAUUUUGCAGUACCUAAUCAUAUACGGUAGCAUUCGUUCAUCUGUUCAGUUGAAGCUUCAAUCAUCUUAUACAGUCUGUCCAAACUUUGCAGUUAAAAACACCAAAAAUUCGUCUAAUGAGUGCAUCAGAACUUGUAAACGCAAAACUCACGACAAAACAGCCAAGAAAUUUCAGAAGCUAACCCAUCAUAAAUCACAGGUUACAGUUUUAUAAAUCACCACAGUAGAUCGUCUUCAGAUAUUUUAAAGUUCAAUCUAGGGAAAUAUCUCUGAUUAAUUACUUGCAACUUAAUUGUAAAAAGACAAUUCUAUUUUCCUUUACCCUUUCCCUUGCCUUGACCCUUUUUGGCUUCAAGCUUGGCUUGUAUGCGAGCAGCAGCAGCUGCCUUAGCUUCCUCUCUCCUCUUCUUCUCUUCCUCCUUGGUUGCAGCGGCAACCUCCCUUUGUUUCUUGAGCUCCCUGGUUGUCAAAACAAGCAAAGAGAUAGAAUAAGUCUAAGUCUCAUACUGCACUGACUUAAACGGAAAUGUGAAUGAUUGACAAGAAAUAAAUUACUCCAGCCUAGCCCUUUCAUCCGAAACACUACUCAGACUUGCACCCCUCCUAGGCCUGCACAUCACCAACUCCACCUCAAAGAUGAGUAUCGCACUGCAUUACAUCAUUUGACAACAAUGCAACUUAGUUUUAAACAAGAAUGAGAAAGGUGAUCCAAGAAUAAACAAACUCAAUAAGUGAAACUUCACGAGGUAAACACAAUCACUAGGCAUGCCAUCUAGAUAAAAACGACAGUUCCCAGCAUUAGAUAGUUUGGAAAGUCAAAUCCGGCUAGCAACCCAAAAAUAGAUGUAACAGAUCAUUUCUAGUUAAGUUAAUUGGGAAGUUACAAAGGAUGAUACUUCUCCAGAUAUCACCACUUAAAAAUUCAAUUCGUUUUGCAGUGACGGUCACUAUUUCAUGGAUGCUGGAGACCACAUUUUGGGUAAGUGGUCUUCUUCACUUAACCAGUUCACGCAAGUAGAGGAGCAUAAUGACCCAAAAAGAUUGGAGUAUUUCAAUAAGCCAAUGGAAACCAAAAAGAUAUUUGGCUUCCUUUAUCUUUGACAAACUCAGUGGAACUUGGACUGCUAAUGCUUUGCCUGAUACAUCUAGAACGUUUCACUUCUGUUGUCAAGUGAAAUUAUAAGCUGAACUUAAAAGAGGGGGAAAUUUUUUAGAGAAGGAAACUCUUUUAAUUAGACUAUAUGAUAAAACAAAUGGUGGAAUUGCAAAUAAUAAAAAAUGGAAUGCAAAUAAUAUUUUCUUAAGUAAGAGGUGGCUUCCAUGCCUUUCUAAUUUAAAAAAGUAGUGGUUUCGCUUAUAUAGGAAUUUAGUUUGAAGUUUAUUAGUGAGAGGGUAAAUAAAAAAAAACAUUUCCAAACUUAAUAAAAGUAAAAAAGUAAAUGAUAAUAUUUUAUCUUUUAACUAAGUAAUCCUAAGUAAAAGGGUAAAAUUAAAUAAAAAACAAAAAGAAAUAAUGUCGCGGAUUUAAAAAAUCAAGAAUGGUACCAUUAGUGAAAUCCAAAUUAUAAAAUCACUAAAUAAAAAAUAAAGUACUAUACUAGCCUCCUACAUUAAUUAAUUGUUCAUGCUAGCACAUUAAUUCAUGCAAAAAUUGUGCCUUCUCAUUUAUAAUACGAACUCCAUAAAAUUUAACAAAAAUAAUUAAUCUCCCAAUAUUGGUGUUCGUACUUAGAGUUGAUUGGUGUGAAAAAUGUUCACAACUUCGUAGAAGAUUAUCAAAUCGAAUGCAAAAUGUUUGUAAGUAUUUCAUUUACUUAUCAAAUUACAUAUUCAAUUACAUUUAAUUGGACCCUUAUAGUGCUCGAUUUGUGAUAUACAUUUAUACUUUUUUCAGGAUCCAACUUCCAUCAAAAGUGAUAGUUGUUUAUAAAUAAUAGAGAUGUUUUUAUCAUACUUUGAACUAUUGCUACAAAAUUUUAUUUUUUUAACUAUAUUUUGAUGUGCCCUAAAUGGUACGAGCAAUUACAUAAAUUUUUUACUCUUUUUAAAUUCCUUACUCAAUUAUAAUUUAUUCCAAAAAUACAACUUACUGUGCGUAGCACAGGUGUUUAGACUAGUUCCUGUAAAUUAGUAAUGGCAAUCGCCAGGAGUCGUUUGUGUGCCUAAAAAUAUUUAGACAAAAGAAAGGUUAGGUUUGAAAUCUCAUCUCUUUUGCCGUAAAUAUAAUUAGGCCUAGGUUUACAGGCAUUGAUGGCUUGACCAAAUACUUAGGCCUAGUUUGGAAUGCAUUUUUUGCAAAUUUUUUAAAAAAUAUUUCAUGAGAGUAUUCUUUCUCACAUUUUCCAAUCACUUUGCACUAAUUUCUUUUCAAAAUCUCUCAAAAAAUGCAUUCCAAACAGGCUCUUGCUAUUUUUUAGAGUUUAUAUAGAAAACGUAUUAUAGCAUAGCAAUUUGAUGUAUAUAAAAUAAAAAAUAAUUAAAAAAUAUAUUCACAAAAAAUAAAAAUAUUUCUUUACAAAAACUACAAGCCAAAACAACAAAUACCUUACAAAAAGUCUAAUAACCGCUAUAGCAAUUUUUUUUUUUGCCUUGUACCAUUUCUCCAAUUCAUUUUUUGCCUUGUACCAUUUCUUCAAGUGCAAAAUUUUCAGCCAUGCAGAAGGAUGCAUCGUAGCUGUGCUCUCUACUAUCCAUUAUAUAUAAUAUAUAUAUAUAUAUAUAUAUAUAAUAUAUAUAUAUAUAAAAAGGCAACUCUCAAUUCGAUUUAGCCUUCUCUCACCCACGUUCAUCAAUCAACUCUGCAGGGAAUUUUUAAAUUCAACCCCAUUAUACCCUAAUAAUGCCAUUAAAUAAUUGCUGACACAAUUGUUGAAAAAUGCAUUAAAAUAAUACAGAUCUGCGUCAGCCGAGCACACCGGAUCCACACAUUGCACUGCAGCAAUGUCGUAAUGGAAUCUCUUCUCCUCUCCCCUCUUUUUCACAGAGAAAGAGAAGAGAGGUCGCAAACCACAGGCCGGCCCGGCCCCCGUCGUUUCAGUCAUCAACUGUUACAGAAACUGAAACUACAACUAAGCAAAUAGUAGUUUUGUAGCUUUGAUAAUCACUGUUGAAAGCACAUGCCUGCAAUCAGUAGUACAGUAGGAGCACGAGUAAUACAUAUCAUGGCGAGAGGUUAUAACAAAAUCACAGAAAUCCCAUUACUCGUAAUUAAUUCCAUACAUUCUCUAUCUCAGUAGUUAAUGAUCAUGGACAACAAUAACAGUAGUAACAUCAAGAAGCCAUCUCUCCUUCACUAGGGUCUGGAGAUUGGGUCCAAAAAAAAUUCUAAAAAACUACUAGUGAAAAAGGAUAAGAAGGUAACUAAGAAAAAAAAUCAAGGGAAAAUUUCUUUGGCGGUAUUUACAUGUUGUUCUCAUCAUCUAUGUGACUCUCUCAUGUUCUUUCUUCUUCUUUCUCUUCCUCCUCGGACGCUGGAAAAGCUCAUGACUAGAGUUUAAUUUCUUGACAGCCCAGAAAAAAAAAACCCACGAACAAUCUCGUAGAAAGAAAGAGAAUCAAAGGAGAAAUGCAUUGACCCUCUCUUUUCUGGCCUUCAAGAAUCACUGUAGUCACGCCAGCAAAUGAGCAUAGUUACACAGCGCCUCAUGAUGUAAAAUCUGGCUCUUUGUUCCUUAACCAAACGGGCACAUUUUCUUGUGAAAGCGCAUCUCUUUGUGGUGGAGGGGUUCUUGAUCAAGGAACUGGAGGAACGGCAGCUUCUUGAUGAACUUUCUUUCUUUGAUAGCUUCCACUUCUCAUCGAAGUAGAACUGGGGUGGAGGUGCUGCUACUUGGGUUGGAGCGGCUGUAAUAGAACUAGCCAUUUUUCAGCUUCAACUUUGAUGACGAAAAAAGCAACCUUUGUUUGCCUUGGGAAGACAGCUUUCAACUUUGGAACUUUGGGUCUGCUUUUGGCAAAGAAAUAUGCGUGAACAGUGGGUAUUUGGGUGAUUGGUUUCUAGUGAAUUAUGCAAAGAUGAGUCAGCUGGAGAGGUUCAUCAAGGGCAUGGGUCGAAAAGUGAGAAGCUAGGGCUGCUAUUUAUAACGGGUUUUCAUAGAAGAAAGAAGGCAGGGUUUUGCAGUAUAAGAUAAUGGGUGUGGCAAUGGGUAUCAGUAUCACCUGGGCUUUGUUUUCCUCAAGAGCCCCACACUAUUUAGAUUGUGUAUUUUUUUUAAAAAAAAAAUUAUAAUUACUAAAAUGUUUUUUAAUUCUUUAGGGUGACGUACGAGUAUAUAAAUUAAUUAAUCUGGUAUGGUGCAUUUAUGGACCAUUAUACAUAAAUAACAUGCAUGGUUCCAAAUACACGUCAGGGGGGCGAGCUUGCUUAAGGCAGUGAAACCGAGAGACGCUACUGUACAAAUUAAUGCGCUAUCAAGAAAAUCUCACUAACCUUAUAGCUCUAGAGUGGGUAGGGGGUCCUGUCCACCGUGCAUUGCUCAUAGUGUAGACUUUUAUGAUGCAACAGGAAAAAACGCAGAGCCAAUGAAUUCUGAUGCAGAAUUGAGAUAGAGUCCAAGAUGAUCUACGUGUACAACCAGGAUACGUGGCAUGCCCAUUUCGGAUAAAAGAUAACAUCAUAGGCUCAUAGGAUUGAAGGCAGUGGGCAGAGAAUUGGGGUUUUUGGAAGUUUGAAUUGAAGAAGUCUGAGAAGAAAACCAAUAUGAAGGAUUUACACCCUUUUUCAAGGUGGAUUGCGUAUAUUCACAUGGUACUAAUAAAGCUACUAUUACAUUGCUGUAGACUAAAAUAAGUCAUAUUAAAACUGCUGGUAUUAAAGAUAUUAACCGACGAACAAUUAAUGCAGCUACAGGUUUACUGUGCAAUUGAACCCCCCCCCCCCCCGCCCCCCAAAAAAAGAAAAGAAAAAGAACAGAGCAUAGUACAAUAUUCUUGAUGGGGACAAAAAGAAACAGGACACCUAUAUUAUAAUUUCCCUGGAAAUUUUGGUGGUGGGCUUGUAGAGUUUUUCAUAUUAUCAUCUGGUUGGAAGCUGACAGACGCCCUAUCAUCAAUGCUUCCAUGGCCUCUUUAUCUCUUGCUGUGGCGGACUGGGAAUAGUGCGGUGUAUGAACCACAUGAGUCAGGAAUCAGCAGGAAGAGGCUCUGCAAAAGCAUUUGCAUGGAUAAGCUUCAACAACAGAGGGUCAGGUCCGGGCGGUGUCGUCUACUCCUUCUUACUGCUCACUCCUCAAUUUUAUCUCAGUAAUUUUUUCUAAUACGUUGCAGGUACAUGACAUUCGAACGGAAAUGUACCGCGUACUGACUAGUCACCAAUCAGCGCUGUUUGCAAGCUUAUGAAAGGUGCUACCUUCCAGUCUUCCGCAGCCCAUAUCACCGUACCUUUUUCUUUUUUUUUCUAAAAAACUGGGGGCCAAAAAAAAAAAAAAAAGAAGAAAGGCUGAGGUGAGGUUGGGUGUGGAGCUUAUCAUCCAUACAAUAAUAAUUCUGCGAGAUGUGAGAGGGAUAGGCGAUCUAUAACAACUUCUGUAAAUGAGUUAUAAUUAUUUUUGCUUCACCAGAAAAAUAAAAUAAAAUAAAAUAAUUCUCCGAGGUCGGUAGCUGCCGAAAUAUGCUAUUCUUGCUUUGCUUUGCUUUGAUCAAUCACCAGACGGAGACCCACAAGAUGACUGAUCAGAGGGACGGGAUAAAUUGAUGAUGCAGUUAAUGGAAUUUAUUUUGGCUGCGCAGCAAAUGGACCCGGGGAUGGUUAAUUGGUGAAGUGAAUGAACGCCAAGAUUGCCGAUACAUCAUCAUAUUGGACAGCUCAUGGAGUCCUGUCUAAUCUGUUCAUUUCUGGCUUUGGGGAAUACUUGUUUCAUCUGGACAAGGUAAAAAAAAUUUGAAGGAGAAAUGAAUCACUCCAUAGAACGCUUGUCGAGUUAUCAUUUCAUUUCUGCUAUAUGUGGUACCCGAAGAAUGAGUUUAUUGCCAGGGAAAAGAAAUCAAGAUAAAACAAGCCCAAAAGUGGGGGAUUCUAUUUUCCUACAAGACGCAACAAAUUCUAGUUUGAUAACUUCAUGGUUAAAUUAUUUAACUUAAAUAUGAAACCAGUUCUCCUCAAUGAAAUCAAUCCUCCUCGAUGAAGCUUAAAAUUACACUAAAUCAUCUAUCGGAAUUGGAUUAGUAACUGAAUUUGUUCUUUUGGCAAAUUUGUAUGGCACAGCUGCGAUCCCAAAUAACUUGCAUUCCGCCCUUAAUUAGGCAGAUUUGUACAACUCACACAUCAUUCAUGAGAAGAAGUCUUUGCAGUUGAACAAGUUAUUAAAGGAUCAUGUGCUGGCUUCAGAAACUAAAUGAUUUACUCUUACGAAAUUUUAUUUAAAGGGAUGAACAUAGUUGUGUUUUGAUAAGAGAUUACUAUUUAAAAUAGGAAAAAUCAAACAAAUAGUCCUUCACAUUGGUUUUAUACCUUUUACAUCUCUUAGAUAUGAAAUGAUGAUGAAAAUAAUGGUUUUAUACUUUUUAAGUCCAUUACAUCUCUUAGAUAUGAAAUGAUGAUGAGAUUGUAGUGAUGGUGCUGUCGUCGGCCAUUACCACUUUUGAUCACAAAGUUUUUAUAAAAUUUAACUUCUCACUCAAAUUUUCAUAUAGAAUCUGAUUUUGUUAUUAGCUCCCGACAAAAAUGAAUGAGUACGAGUAAAAAAAAAAAAACUGGCGAAUAUAAUCUGACUUUGACAUUAAUUUUGUGUUUUCUUUUUAAAAUCAUACAGCUAAUAGAGAAAACACUGGCUUUGUUUUUUUCGGAUAUUAGUUGUAGAUUCUGCCUAUCAUUAUUUUUAUUUUUCACUCAUUCUUUUCUGUUCUUUUUUUUUUUUUUUUGCAAAAAACUAAUAUUGAAAUUAGAUUCUACAUCAUAACCUAGACGAGGAGUUGAACUUUUGUGAAAUUUUAUGAUUGGAAAUGGUGGUAGCUAGAACUGUAAGCGAACCGAAACGAACCGAGUAUCUCAUGUUUGAGCUCUGUUCGUUAAGCGAUUCGAACUCCGUUCGUGUUCGUUCGUUAACUUUCGAACUAAGUAAAGUUCAUGUUCGUGUUCGACUCGUUUAACAUAAAUGAGCCGUUCGCGAACACGCUCGAAAAGUUCGAAUCCAGAUUAUUCUAGGCCUUAAAUAUGCCACACAAAUCAUUAAUCAUCCUAAAAAAUAAUUAAAAUACUAAAUGACUAAAUUCCAUUAUUCAAUAACUGCAUAACCAACAUUAACAUAAAAACAUCAAAUAAAACAAAGUAAUUUAUCCUUCAAAUAUAAAAAUUCAGCCAUAAGACAAGUAAAAAUUUUCAGCAGCGGCCAAUGGGGAAGGAAAACAAAAGUAAGGUUGGAAAAGGAAGGGGAAAGUUUUAGAAUUUCUUAUGAGUAACCCUAAAAUUUAUCAAAUGACAAUUAUGUCCUUGUUCCGCGACGAACGCUCGUUAAAAAUUCGCGAACAUGUUCGUGUUCGUUCGAUUAUUAAACGAACACAAAAAUUCGUUUGUAUUCGUUCGUUUAAGGCUUUCGAACGAGCCUUUAACGAACACACCGAGCCGCCGAAACGAACCGAGCUAACGAACAGCUCGGUUCGUUUAACAGCUCUAGUGGUUGCUGACGAUGACACCGUCAUUGUGGUCACAAGCAGCGGUGACUACUGCCAUAUUUUUUACUAGAGAAAUAGGACUUAAAAAAAAAAAAAAGAAAUAUGAGGGAUGUAUUUUCAUUUUUCCUUGCGAUGGAAUUGCCAAAAGUUUGUGAGUCAUUAGUUGCACGUGAUUUUUUUUUUCUUGGCAAGAAUAUAAGUAAAAUUGAGUUGAGGGACUAAAAAUGUACUUUUUUAUUUGUGAGUGACGAAAAAAUCAACAUUUCAUAUGUGAGGGAUAUAAAAGGUACAAAAUCAAUAUGCGAAGGACUAUUUGUGUGAUUUUUCCUCAUUUGAAAUUAUCACUUUAACACCUUUUAUUAUGUGAAGUAUCCAAUAUAUAUAAAAAGAAAAUUAAAAAAUACAAAUUUAAUCUAAAAUUAUAUUUAUAAUAUAAGUACAACAAUAUUUGGGAUAAUUUUACCAUUCAAACACACUCAAUUUGCGACUCCACCUACUUUCUCGAUAACUUGAAUCUGGAAUCUAUUGAGUGAAGGCAUGAAGCUGCUUUACCAACUUAUUAAUUGUCUAAGACGUUGUCCAUCAGAUAAUUAACCUGGAUUUCGUUAUUCGAAAUUAAAAAAAAAUGCAUGUUUUAAUUAGAUUCGAGUGUAACACUAACAGAGGGUUUUCUAGGACGCUAGUUUCACCACAACCAAGCCGCGAGUCCUCUUGACUGGUUGAGCCCAAGAGUUCUCCGUGAUUUGUGGCAGGGAAGGGAGCCUCGUCAACGUACAAUUACCACACAAUAACAAUACAGUGCUACAGUCUCGUCGAGAAUAGAUGCCAUUCUCUGACGCCGCCCAAGCGUGCUUCGCCGGUUGCACACGUGUCCGUCAGCACUGGGUAAGAGUUUGGUCUCUGGUCAGUCGGACCGAAAGUCUUGCGGGCUCUUUCUUCCUUGGUCAACGCCACGUUUCCUGCAAUAAUCUGACAUUCGAUAGUAGUAGUUGCAUUGUAUUCGAUAAUUCUAGUCGCAUUACGAAUUAUUGUAAAGCACAAAAUUAUUCAAUAAUCCCAAGGUUCGCGCGGCUAAAUGAAUAAUUUUCCUCAUUCCAGACCGCCUCUUGAUUUUCUCCCAAGCACGUGUGGGGUGUCGAAUGGAUCUGCAGUACUAGUAUGUCUUAUGGUCAUUGCCUUCCCUGGUUACAACUUACAAGGCGCAUUAUACCAAUGGUCCCAUGAAGUAGUAAUUUUUUCCCCUCUGUUUGGCCUUUCUGAUUUCUUUUUUCCACUAGAAAACCAUUUUUGGUACUCAAUACUCAAUAAGACAGUAGUUUUUUGGUAGGAAUAAUACUCUCUAAUUUUCUUGUUCGACGUGAAUCUUGAGCAUCCUGCGUGGAUUGGAUACUUACUCCAUUUUAUUAGCAAUUAUUUAACUUGAAGUCGCAAAAUGAACCCAACAAUAUAUAGUUGUUUUGGAAAUCUAAGUGAGCUUCCGAUUCAUCAGAUUGAGACAAAUUAAAGACAAUUCAGUCAAGAGUACGUGGUUAGAUAGAUACUGAAUAAUCAUGAGCUCUGCCCAGGCGGCAUAAACACUUUCUGGUGCUGUUUUGUGCAACCGAACAGUGCAGAAAGGAACAGCUUCCACAAACCACGCGAUGUCCACAGAAUCGGGUGCAUGAACUUCAAAAAAUACCCCUCAUACAUUCUUCCCAUUUUUUCUCUUCCUUUUAAAAAGAUAGAUGGUCUUCUCCAGUGGUUAAUUCGUUGACUUCCCAUCCAAAGUAUCAGAGUCGUAGUUGAAACUGCCCAAUUGCAUUUUGUCCUUUCUUGAUACAUGCAUCCAUCUUUUAAAGCGUGAUAUUGUUCCACAAUUUCUUGAUACGUGCUUGUCGAGGUGGUUUCUUAUUCUUAUAUAUAGGGCAAUAGAGUUAUCGAGCUGCUUCGUUUCUUUGCCCAGUUUCUCAAUGCCGUCAUGAAGUCACGUUUUACUUUGUUAUUCUUUUACUAUUUAACUGGAGUCUCUGGAGCUUGUUCGAACUACAUCUUCUGCAUAGUUCGUUCACUACAAAAUUCCAGGCAGUGAUAAUUAAAGGCUAACAUUGAUUGAGUUAAUCAUUUGUUUGAUUCUCUGAUGGAUGUGUGCUUGCUUGAGCCACUUUGUAGUUUACCCUCUCAAAGAGAGCAAUUGAUCAUUUUCGAUUAAUUUUGUAUGGAACUCAAAAGUCGUACCACAUGCUACCAUGUGGGCAUCAUCGAUCAUGCUCUAGACUUUUCGAUUGGCGGCGUUAUGCACAAGUUAGAAAUGAUAAAAAAAAAAAUAAUAUUCCGGUAAUAAUACGACAAUUUGAGUCGUACUAAAGCGAAACACUGAAAAUCCUUAGGUUGACACAUGCAUGAUAUUGAUAUAAUCUCAUCCCCCGGCUUUAUUCUAAAUCUUAAAGUUAUUGGUAUUCAUGUCUACCAAGAUAUAUAACAAAAAGGAAAAAAAAAAAAAAGAAUAAAUCUGUCGAGAGUACAAUACAAGUUACGAGAUCAUCUAUUGGUACAAUGCAACACUCGAUAUUGAAUUAGUAUUUCGUUAUAUAUAUAUAUAUAUAUAUAGUAUUGGAGUCGUGGUAUGGUCUUUCUGUUCAAUAUCAUUCGAUGGUUUGAUUCAGUGAAAAGAAGAUAGUAACGAAAAGGUGCUUAGUAAGGCCAGUCCGAGUUAAAAUGGCCAUGCACCAUUUGAAUAAGGUUAAAACCAUGAUCAACUUCUCAUCACCACCUAAUUGAACAAGUGCAAACCUGAAAGACCAUCAUCUGUUUGAACCUAAUGAACUUGCUCCAUCAGACAUACGCUAGCUCUUUUCCGGCAGGCAGGUUUAUUAAUUUCGAUGGACACUUGUAGUUUUAUUCCGCCAACUUUGUGACACAUAUACGUACAUAUUUGAGCAACAGUAUCAUUCGUUCGUAUUUAGAUUUCUAGCGGCAAACUCCGUAUGAGUGCAUGUGAGUUUGACAUUCGUACAACCUCUAUUAAACUAUGUCUCCAACUUCAUAGACUACCAACUCUAUAUAUUACUACUAGCUACUACUUUGGUUAAACGGCCGGGCGUGGUCAAUUAAGGGGAGACAUCAGGGUUCGGUUAUCCCGAUAAAUUUGUUUCAUAUGAUUAAUACAUCCAUUUCAAGAAUUCUUGUCCGUAUUAUACUGGCAAAGCCUUUGGCUCAAGGCAAUGAUAAGAUAAGAUGAUGAAUAAUCAAUAUACUACUACCUAUGCCCGAUAGUUUUGACUACUUUAGGAAGCCAAGUCUUUUUCUUUUUUUUUCCUAUUACGUGCUAUGUUUCAAUGAAUAUAGAUACUGAAAUGGGUUAUAAUUCAUUGCGUUUUAACCCUAAGAAGUGGGCAAUAAAAUGCUUUAUUUCAUCUUGGGAUUAAUUGUAUCGUGUUAUGCCAGAUCGUCUUCAGAUUUGAGCAGGACCAUAUACACCAAAACCUUUUGUGUUGUCGCUGAUGCUACUGUAUGAUCUACUUCCUCAAUCGCUUUUGAUAAUCAAAAUUUUUCUGGUGCGAAUUGGUAGGCAGGACAACCAACUUUCGGCGUGGAACUUUCAGCUGUGAAUCCACUAGGUCGACAUUUUCUUGCUACAUCAAGCAUUUAAACAAAGAAGAAGAAGAUGACUAGGCCAGUGUUACCAACGAAAAAAUCAGGAAAGCCCAGAUUAAUGUUUCAGCCCAAUCAGGGAAGUGUUACCAAAGCGAUGAAUGUAGGCAUACAGGAAACAGCCCACCUACUUCGUCCCACUAGGGGGCUGCAUACAAUUAGUCUGUGGCCCAGUCCGAGAUACUCCUUCGUGCUUAGUAAAAAAAAAAAAAAAAAAAAAAAAAAAAAAGGCAUGGGAAGACAGGAGUAUUUCGGUUUCGAUCGGAUUCCUACGCACUGAAUUCUUUUUGUUUUCUUUAGUCCGCCUAAGGAUUCAAAGCUCUUACUUUUUCAUUAAAAAACAAUAUCAUUUUUAAGGAUCACACUAAGAGUCAGAGAUCAAAAUUCCCUGUCAAAUCCACAACAUACCCCACUCUUCCAAAAGAAAUUCGAAGAAUUUUCCAGAUUUUACCUUUCAAAUGUUCGAAACUCAGUCCGUCAAGCAAUUAGGACAACAGUUGCUAGAUAUUUAAUGCGACAAAUGUUUGAUUCGAUUUGUUUUGACCCAAUCCACAAAAAGUAAUAAUGAUAUCAUAUUUAAUUUUUGUAAAAAAAAAAAGAAAGGAAACGAUGCAGUUCUAUUCCGCUUGUGACUUGUGAGGGGAGAGCAGCAGAGCCUUUACCCAUCUCUUUACAAGUGAGUUCCUCUUCCUGUCAUGAAUUUUUGCAGGUGAGUUCGUACCUUUUCUAUCCUCAGUCCUAACUCUAAUAUUUCUUGGGUCAACAAAAUGUCAGCGUAGAGAGAAGAGGGGAAAAAAAAAAAGAGAAAGAAACGGAAGCACAACCACUUAGCUAGUCUUUCGAAAAGUGAUAUAAUCAGAUAAAACCAAACCAAGAAGAAAACAAAAGGUGGGUGAACAAAUCUCUCAACCAAUUGGUAAUUGUCCAACCUUGAAAAAACAGUCUCUGUAUCACACAGAGAGGAGAUGGACGUAUUACAACGUAAACAGACGCAAGCUUUCCUGAGGAAAUUUGGAUAGCUGCAUUGGCUUCUGGUAGUGGAUAGAAUCAAAGCCAAAGAUAGAAACCACCAAAAAUACAGAAAUUAUCAUGCAGUAAAUUCGUCUCAAAUCAAGUGCCACUUUAUGAUUUUGUCCGCUUCAGGCCACUGCUAUCUUUUCGACGUUCCCUUGCCUGCUGCUACAUCACUGUCGACUGUCGAUCAUAAUGGAAGAUAUAUAUAUAUAUAUAAUCAUAAGUACCAUGUGAUAUCAUCACCAUAAUGGAAGAUAUAUAUAUAUAUACACACAAAAUUAACAUGGGAUCGAGAAUAUGAUAUCAUCAAGCCCAGGAGAAGGAAAUCGGGUUGUUGCAAGAUUUGUUCUCUGGGACCAUGCAACUUCAAAGAGGAUUUUCCUACAAAUCACAUGCUUUCAAAAUGGAAUUAAUUGAAACGGAAAUUUCUUAAACCUGCCUGCUAUGCAAGAAUGUCCUCUGACUCAAAAAAUUGGAAAAUGUGGAAUUUAGCCAAAAAGAGAUCCAUAAAUUCUCUUCAAGUUUAAAGUCAAGAGGAAGAGGAGGAAAUAUACCCUAUCACGGGCUAGUGCAAAAAAGCACUCAACCCGUUAACAGGAUGAUUACAACGACUAGGUAAAUAGUGCAAGUGUACGACAGAAACACCCGCAAAAAGUGCAGGUACGUGCAAACAUCCGUUUAUACUGCGCGAGUUUAUGCUGAGAUUUCAGGAUUUUGUAACUGAACAUUAGCCCCUACUCCGGUUCAUCGUUUCUUUUUUUUUUUUUUUCUGCCUUUCCAUGCUAAACAGGUACAAACAUAAUCAUGCAAAGGUUGCACACCGAAUAUCGAAAUUCGACAACAAUGUUCACUGGCUACCUAUUUCUCCGAUUGAUACUUCGCAGGACUCAAUUUUGAAGGCCCCAAAAAAAAGACAGACAGAUAUAUCUGAUAGUGAGGAGUUCAACAGGAAAAACAAAUUAGCGAAAGUUAGCACCAAAAGAAAAGAAAAGUGCAACAGCCCCAAAAAGGAAAAAAAAAACAAGAAGAAGAAGAAGAAUGGGAACUUUCAAGUAUGAGGGAUUUUUUUUCAAGCAUGAGCGAUACUUCAUCAAAAUAAUUAUAUAGCUGCAAACGGGGAAAGUACUCCGGCGGACAUUCAAGAUCAAUCGUUUGUUGGGAGGGGGAGGUUCCUGAAACUUUGUUGGGCAAAAUCCCCAGGAAGCAAAAGCAUAGAUGACAAGUAUAAAGUAUAAACAUACCUACUACGUCCGUGUAGUUGUAUGAUCAACAAGAUUAGAAAGAGGGCAACCAAGGAAAAAGGAGAUCGGAACAUUUCUGAAUUAAGAAAAGUUUAAACCAAGGCAUUAGAACCCAAACUACAUAUACGUUACCCCCACAUGGUCGGCUAAGAUUGCUUUGGUGAGAUCCAAAACAACCCUAAUUGUCCAUAUUAUGUCAGGCACUUCUGCUUAAAUAGGCCUUGGUUGCACACUGAUACUCGAUUGUUGAUGUUGAAAACUUUGUACAUAGGAAAGGCAAAUGAAAAGCAGCACAUACGCGCAUAUAUAGAUAUAUUUAUCUAUAGCCAUUCAUUGCUGCUGCAGCAUCAUCAAGAUUCCCGAAAGCAACGAGUUCUUGGAGUCAAAGGGAAGGACCAAAUCAUAAUCAUGAUUACAUUCCCCAAUCACCACUCCAAAGAAACCCUAGUAAAGGUUCGUGAAUCUUGAUGAUGCUCCACCCGCAAAAACUGACUGGGUCAUAUUCAGAUCUUAUGAAUCCUCAUCACCUUCAUCAAUACAUGCAAUACAGGAAAAGGGGCACCAAACGAAACCUACAGAAAACCCUAAUCAUGACUGAAGCACAUCCCCAGUUGAAAAAGAAAACGGGGAAAAAGGGAUGUGAAUUCAAAGCUUCAACCUCCUUGAAUACAAAGAGAUCUAGUUUGUAGGAAAGCUAUUUGGAGGAGGUACUCUAGCUUGUAAAGCUAUAAACUUUUACAAUCAAAAUACGGAAAAGAAGGUCUACAGCUGAUGAACUAAUUAAAGAUUAAGUUGAAGAAGGGAAGAGAAGGAAUAAAGCUUAUGGGUCAGGGGUGUUGAGAUGGUGACUAUUUAUAGAGUAGAUCAGGAGGAGAUAUUAGGAUUUGUUGGGUGUCAAUAGAUUUGUGAGGAGAGAGAUAAAGAGAGUACAUCACAACAGUUAGCCAUCGCAAUCCUAGGAACCAAAAUAUAUCUGUAUCUUUAAUACUUACUGACUCUGAACAAUUCCAAAGAUGUCAUGGGAGAGUAAAAGCAUCUGACUGAAAAUGAAAGGAAAAUGAGAGAACCAAUUAGCUAGUAAUGGUGCCAUUCAGGUUUGGAGAUUUGUUACGUCCUCUACAAGCAUUUUCAGGUUGGGAGAAUUGAUGGGAUUGAAAUGAUAUCAUGAUAUCGUUUGUCAUCUGAUCUCGUAGGUUUUGGAAGGUUACGUGUUUUAGUUUCUCAUUUUUUUACCACCUCCGUCAUUUAUGACUUUUCAUUUUCGAUGGAACCCUAUGAAGUAAGUGGGCUUAAAUGGAUCUUGAUCGAGUAUUAUGGUAGAUGAAUCUAACCUUUUUCCCCCCUUUUCUCUUGCCUGCUAUUACCUAAAGCUGUUAUGUCUUCCUCAUUUUGUAGAUAAUCUGAAGCCCUUCAAUCCUCUAAAUUACAAGAUCGAUUUUGCGACCGAAGUAGAAUUAUUAAUUUGCUUUGCCCUUUUUUGGUUGUCCUAUAUUUUUCGCUUGGCAUGCACUAAACCAAGUGUACAGCGAGAGUAGUUUCAAAUGUGAGCAACGAAAGAAUAGACAGAAAAAAUCCGAUUUCCCCAUUGAUCAGACUUGUAGAAAUUUGUUCACAGAAGUGCUCAUCUUAUGUUUUGGGUUUAAAUCUCUGGACUAAUACGAAGAGAUAUUUUGUACCAGUCCGGCAAGUCAAACGUUUUAUAGCUUAAAUUUUUGUGAGAUGAGGCAAGUCAAACGUUGUGAGACAAGUAAUUGCCAGUACUCUUUUAGUUUUGCUACUUGGUCUACUGAAAUUUUCGCACCUUAGAAUUGGUUGAUAUUUUAUGUUAACGAACUAAUACAAAUCCUUGAAAGCGAUUGCCAGUGAGACUAUCUGGUCUUGUUCCUUGUCUCUUAGGUAGCUGCUUGUUUUCUUGCCAGAUUUCAGAAAUUGACUUUUUAUCUUCUUUUUUUUUUUUUUUUAAACGCAGUCCCUGAGUCUUAAAAAUAUUUGUCCUGACAAAUUGAAAAACAAAGAAAAAUAAAAGAUGAAACUGAAAAAAAAAAAAAAACCUUUAUGUGUAUCGCAAUAAUCAGUUCGAAGCUACAAAUAUUUUAAGAGCACCGAUUGUGUUCUACGAGCACAGCUUCCUUUCUUUCCGGAAUUUUUUAUUAUAUAUUAAGAUUCAAUAAAAGAAAUUAUACAUAUUGAUUCCCAUAGAAAUAAUUAGCUAGGGCUCAUAAUUAGCAUCUCCAAACGUUAGGCUUCUUUAACUAAGCUACAAUCUAACGCAUCCAAUAGGAAACAUUUCAAUUACUGCUGGAUCUAAAGGCCAGCUAAACAUUUCAAUUACUUUCGGGCAGUUGUACAUGCACAAGUCUUAUGUGUUGAUGAUUCCUCCUUAUGCAAUUAGCACAAAUGACAUGGCUGUCGCAAUAGAACCCUUCAUGAUUUGAGCCUAUUCAUGAUCAGACCAUUUGUAACCAAAUUCAUAGGAUUGUGGAUGCGUUGAACAAGGUGGAUAUUUGUUUCUAAUUCAAACUGAAUUGUCAUGUACGAGUGAAUACCACUCGAUAGCAACAUUUAUUUUUCUUUUUAUGGUUUUCAUAGCCGUACGUGCUAAUAAUUUCUAGUAUGAACUCUUAUAAUAUCUCCACCUUUCCGUACCAGGAUGAUUUGCAUGUAUUUUUUUUUUUAAAACAAUCCUAUCAGCUUUUAACAAAAUCUUUUGCAGGUUUAACGUGCAUCAGCUUCUACAUCUAUCAUGGUGUCCUAAAUUUUUCAUUCUAUCAGAUUUUGAGCAGAAAACUUUCUUCUAACUUGGUCUCUCACACAUAUAUUCUUGCGCAUAAUUCUCAUACUCGGUGACUUGACUCUAGCUACAUUUGUGGAUGUAUAAAACGUGAGCAAUAAAAGCUAGUGUAUUUAGUUUUGCUCUUCUCCAGCUAGUAUUAUUUCCUCAUUCAUGGGUAACAGUUGCGAUAAUAAGGUACUUUUUUAAAUACGAAAAAUUAGGGUUAUUAUCACUUUAUCCCCUUAAACUAUAUCACUACUAUCGGUUUAUCCCCUAAUAUUAUCUUUUAGUCACUUCAUCCCCUUAAGCAAUUCAACUCAAAGUGUUAAGAAAUUUUGGACAAAAAUAACCUUUUAUUCUAUAGCAUUACUACAUUGUUAUUAAUAAUUUAUCCCUUUAAAUUAUAGUGAUAUAAUCGCUUUGAUUUCUAACAUUAUUUUCUAGACAUUUUACUUCACCAUUAAUCUAACUAGUAUGGUCAAAAAUUUUUAAAUAUAUUUACCCUUUUAUAUAUAAUUAAAAAUAAAAAAUUUGGAAUGGUUAUUCUUCCUUUUUUUCACUUUAAGAGAUCCAAAAAUAUAAAAAUAAAGGAUUUUUGUCACACUUAUUAAUACUAAGAAAAGAAAAAGAGAUAAGAUAGAAGAAGACAGAAAAUUAGAUUUUGCAAAGAAAAAAUAAAGAAGAGUCUAACAUUAUCAUAUUAUUUUAAGGUUGUUAGGAUUAGGAUUGGAAUUUAAUCGUAAACAAAAAAGUGAAAUAAUUUUAAAAUAAUAAAAGUAUUUAAUUCUUUCUUAUUUGUAUUUAUUUUAAAAAAAAAGAAUCGAGCUCUCUCUCUCUUUCUCCCUCACUCUCCCCAUCUUUUUAUUUUUUUUAAUAUUAAUGAGAUUGUCAAGAAGAAAGAGAUUAAUUUUUUUGACUUUUUUUCUUGAUAUUAAAAAAGAGAAGAGCCGCUCUAAAUUUUUUAUUAUUUUUAUUAUACAAAGAGGAGGGAAUUUUCUUCUAAAAUUUUUUUAACUUGCUAUGUUGGUAUAAUGGGGGGAUAAAUUGUCUAAAAAUAAAUUUAUGGGGUAAAUUGAUAAUGAGAUUAUAGUUUAUGGGGGUAAAGUGAUAAUAACUUUAAGUGCUAAAAGACCAUUAGUUUUGGAUGUAAGGUGACUAAAAGAUAACGUUAAAGAGUAAAUUAAUAGUGACACCAAACGUUAACGGAGUAAAUGACAAUAACCCGAAAAAUUAUGACCCUAGUUUACCUUCAUCACUUAAAAAGAUGGAAAGUGUUGAUUCAAAGUUGCAAAUAUCUUGUUCCAUACUAAAACAUCUUGAAGUUUCAUCAUAUUGGCCGAUUAGAGUAUGCUUCUCUGAGAGAGGGGACAAAACAUGACCAGGGUAACAACUCUAGAUCUUGAACCUUUUUAUAUAAAAUAUAAAAUUCUAAAAUUCUAAUUUUUCCUAUCUAUUCUUACUGACACAUAUCUUCCACAAUUGUUACUCCAUUUCUCUUAAAUCUGUAGAGGGAGUGAAUCAUUUAUGGCACGUCAUUGACUAGGUCAAGCCACAUAUCCUGGGAACGGCUCAGUUGUAUCGGUGUAGCUUAGGCACUUCUUACGCAUUGACCAAGUUUGGCCUCCUGAUCAAGAGUGGUGCUCUUAGGUUGUUGCCAUUUUUUCCGGCUGAUAUCCACACCUUAUCGUAACUGUUGAACUAAUAAGCCAUGGAUUUUCAUACUAGUUUCCAUCACAAUCAAACACCAAAAGAUGAAUGGCUGAUGUCAAAUAAUGAUUUUUUUUUUUUUAUCUUUUACGACAAGAACAUCAUUAAACUUGUCGAAGAGUUUGGCAGCUUAGAUUGUUUUGCUAGAGUGAUCUCCAACACUCAAUAAAUAAUUUCGUUAAUCAUGUAUGCCUCCAACCCUCACUUGUUUGUUAGCAUUAACACAACCCCAGGAUAUGAAUUACGAAUGUGAUUAUUACAAUUGCUGUGGAUUAGCAAAGGUUGCGUGUUUGUUUGCAAAAAUGUCAAGACCGACCCACCAACCAACCUCUUGGGCCAGCCAAAGAAAAAAAGAGGGAUAUUUAUAUGAGACACGGUAUGUUUAACCAAAUUAAUUGAUUGGACUCAAAUUAACAGAGGGUCCGGGGAGUAAGGCGGUGUAGUGGCUCUGGGGACAUUCACUGAUUUACCUCCGCUUUCUCUCUCUCUCUCUUUUAUGCUCGUACGGAGCACAGUUUUUAAAAGUUAUACUACAAUUGAUUUGACCACCCUCUUCCUCUUGGAUGAGCAUUUCCACCAGGCGUCGGUGGUUUCCCUGAUUUCCUGGACGCCCGUUUUAGCUUGCCUGUAUUUCUGCCUAGGCUAAUGCGUAGAAGUGUUUGGUUAGUUCAGAGCUUCUACAACGUCCACUCUGGAUUUACGCCUUUACUAGUUCUUUGCGGAAUGAAGCAAUGGAAUGGCUCACUGAUCAACUUAUCGUACUCUAACUAUUUGUUCCAAAUAUGUAGGUGAUGUUCGGAUUGUCAAUUUUUGCCCAAAAAUUUUUGAAAAUAUUUUUUCAAUCAUUUUUUUUAUCUUACAUAUAAUAAAUUAUUAUUGCAUAUUUUUUUCUGAAGGAUUUAUUGUUUAUUUUUCAAUUAAAAUUUUAAAAAAUAGCAAUUCAAACGCAACCUUACUUUCCACUAUGUUAUGCAACUAAAAGGGUAAAUGAAGAAAUCGUCAGCUUAAGCUCCAAUCUCUUUUGUUUUUUUUCCCAAGAAUCAUAUAGUUUAAUAGGUAUGAAACUUCUUCUAGAAGAGAUAAAUGGUAAUAUUUGCUUCUUCUUCUUCAUUUUUUUUUUUUUUUUGGUAGAGGGGAGGUUUUGAACUCGUAACCUCUUACUUACUACAUUUCUUUUUUCCUAACCAUCCAACCCAUCUGUCCCUGCUUUUCUUCUUCUUUAUUGAAUGAACAAAAAAAAGAUAAAGUAUAGAGCCUUGGUUUGGUGAAGGAUAACAAAAUAAUUCAUUUUUUUUUUUGUAAAUCAAUAACAAAGUAAUUUAAGCAAUAGUGACCAGAAACAGAAACUUUCCUGCACCAACUAAUACCAAAAAGAUCUGUUUUGGCACCUUUGUUUGGAUAGGGUAUUAUUUGAAAUAUUAGUUGGAAUAAUUACUGUAGCACUUUUUGUGAUGUGAUGUAUGUGAGAUAAAAAGGUAGUUGGAAAUAUAAAAAAGUGGAUUGAAAAAUGUAUUUAUGAUGCAAGCCAAAUAUUAUUUGGGAUAAGCGAAAUAUUUUAGUAAGACAUUAUUGAUAGAAAUAUUCUAUCACGCGUUAGGCUUUACGGCCCGGGAAGCUGAAUUUUUUAAAAAGGUCUUUUGAAACAAAACAAUUAGUAGUAAGUUUAAGGUUCACUUUGUAAUGAGGUUUGGGAUCGUCAAGUAAUACAGCUUCUCCACAAACAAGGAAGUGGGAAUAUAUCAGUGAAAGACAAGUGUUACGAGUACAACAUUGCAACAAGAAAGCCAAUGCUCGUCCCAGGAUUUUAUGAUUAUAUUUCAGUGGAAAUCUGAGAAAUUUCAACAUCAAAAGAACCCGUACAUUUGUAUUUCAAAUCGCACUUGUCUUACCUUUUGAAUCUUAAUAAUGAAUCAAAUGCCUUUUAGUGGUCAGGUCCAUUAAAAAUCUUCCCCUACGCUAUCAUCACAUGCCACCCAGACUCAAUUGUUUACAGCUGACAGUUGAUCCUCAUCAGAAAGACAACAAAUAGCAUCUGAGAGUCUAUCAGUUUCAGGUGAAAAUAAUAGGAAACAAAUUGUUAUGCAGAUAUGCUUACUUCUUGAUUUGCUGGAGCUCUUCUUUACACGCCAGUGUGGGCUACUUGCUGAUCUUCCCAUGGCCUACAACAUUUCCUCUCUAUCGCCAAAUUUCAAGCUCUCGACAGUUUCUUUCUUUUUUUUUUUUUUGGAGCUUUGUCAAUUGUAUAUAUAUGCACUUUGCCAUCCCCAAAUUUCGACCUCAUUUACCAGCUACGUACUAUUUCUAUGCUGGAUUGUUUUAGAUCUCGUUUGAUAACUUAAUUCAACACUUAAAUUUAAUGGAUUCAAAUCUUAACAUAUUCAGACGCAUUUGAUAACCAAAAAUUAAACAUCUGAAUUAAUUAAAUGACACUGAAUUUCUUAAGCAAAACUUGCUUCCAAAAAUAUGUGAUAAGCUACUCACUUAUCACUGAAUGUAAUAUACACUCAAACGUAUUACAUUUAAUACUUAACAAUUUAAGUAACUUAAUGGAUUCAAACUUCAAAUUUCAGUUUUAUCAAAUGCACCCUUAGUCUCUGUUAAGGUUUUAAGCUCUUGUAAAAUUGAUGGUGGAUAGGUAUUCACUACUUAGCGAUGCAUGAAGCAUCCUUCUCAAAAUCAGGAAUAGGAAUCAAUAAAACUAUCAUCGCUAGCUUAGCAUUUCCUAAAACUAUUAAAUUGGCCUUGUUUGAUUUGCAAAGUGAACAAGAUAAUUACAAUUUACAAGAAACAAGAAACAAAUUACGGUUUGACUACUUUAUUCUGAUCUCCUAGUUUUAUACAUCUUUAGGCAAUUUAUUCAGUUGAUUAUUCUUGUCGCAUAAUCAAAAUAAUUCCUUCAAACACCAAGAAAAAAAUAGCAAAAAAAAAAAAUGAAAUCAAAUUUAGCUCGUACCUUCGUGGACGAACCGAAGGAAGACGGAAACCCUAAUGUACCUCGAGUUGCUUGGUUUUUCGCAAGCUAAGUAAUUGAUCUGAUUCAUCAAACUCGAGCCCAGAAAUUCCGCUGAUGGAUUGAAGAGGACAGGACAUCCUACUAUAUAUUGGACAAUAUCACGAUGCAGCACCGCACAAGUUAGAGAUUGCUUUCUUCAUUUGGAAACUCACCAGUCCUCAGCCUGUACGUGUCUAUGGCCCUCUUUCAACACAUGCCACCAAAGAGUAACUGCCUCGUACACUUUUUCUGCCUCCUAUUUCUUGACCUUGUUCAAUUUCCCUUUUUUGUCAAACUUUAUUGCUUGUUGAAUCCCGUGCAAGUGCAACCAUAUCUUUGUCUUCUGUCUUUCAGAUUUUAAUACCAGUCGAAUGGCGUGGUACAAAUGAGACGCUAGUGUCGUUGCUCGUUAUUAAUGUCUGGUUGAACUAUUUUCGACCUGACUCCCUUCAUCUUGAAUGAAGCCAUGUCAUGCUAACAUGAUUUUGGUUUUUUUUCGUUCCUUAUGUUGAUCCCCCCCCCCCCCUACAUGGUGGAACACUCUUUAAUAUUAUUAUGUUUUAAAGUAAAUUGGGACCUGGCUAAUAUAGCAUAUGUUGAUACAAUGGGACGGCUAUUGCAUCCGGAAUUAGGAACCCUUUUUAUCCCCAUGGAAGUGAAGGGAGUCGAUCUCUGGGAACAAGAACUUUAAAAGAUCAACUUGUUUUUUAGAGGCCGCGAGCAGCGAAAUUGAAUAAUGAUAAUGAAGAAUAUUUAGGUAGUCGUGUAUGCCACAAAUUUAUGAAUCGCAUCAUGAUCACAUAUCGAGAGAUGAGAAAAGGCCGGCUUUAGGUGCGGGAAUCUGAGGAAGAGUUGGUACUCGACACUAUCUGUGGGGUUCAUAUUCAAAAGGUAAACUAUGUGCUUCUCUGUGGAAUUGCUAUUUUCGGUUUUAUUGACGCACAUCUUAUUGUUCAUCAGACUUGAGAAAGCAAACAUGGUGUAACAAUUCAUUUUUUGUGCAUGCAUUCAUUAGUCUCUGUAUAAGCAACAAGGCCUUAAUUGUCUUUACCAAUAAACAUUCAUGGAGUGACAUGACGUUCAUGAUCAAUUUCAUGAACAAAUUAUAUGAAUUGCUGAGAUCUUUUGCAGUACGCAAUUAAAGUACUUUGAAACACAAGUCGACGUUUUGAAUGAAGUCUAAUUCAAUGUAAUUUUCUUAGACAACAUGGGUUUUUUUUUUUUUUUUGCCUUGAGAGAAUGUAGGCAAUUCUCUCUUGUUUUACGUGUUGUACAUGAUGAAGCCUAUAUUUUGCCUGUAUUUGACUUCAAACAUUCCCAUUUUCACAGUAUAACUUCUUCUCCAUAUUGAUCAAGGUCUACUGGCUUGCACUCUCAUUUACUAUUGCAUAAGCAACGCUUACUGAUUUGCUCUUAAGGACGACUGUCUAACUUGAAUAGUGGAAGACUGGAAGUGGACUGUCUUAAUAUACGAGAGAAAUGUCAAUGGAAUCGCUUCUUCUUUGAUUUUUGUCGUACUGAAGACUUGAUGUUGGAUAAUUCUAGCUUAAAAUAGCGCACAACUCCAACAGAUUUUUUGUUUCUUUUGUUACGCUAGUUUAAACAGAUUUUAAGAGUCAAAUUCUAAAUAUGUAUAUGAGUUGCAACGAAGGAUGAUUGCCGCUGGGCUUGAGACCGUGAGGUGAUCGUACCAUAUCGGUGACUGCCAUCACAUGCAUAAAGAUGCGGGAGUUUGGCAAUGAUGGCAUUUGUGGGAUGCGAAGAAGGGGAUUGAUGGUUUGAUAUCUCUCCCGUUCAACCUUUGUUUAGUUCCGUCAAGUUGUACAAAAUAACACAAUUUUGUUGUAAUCCGGAGUUUUGCAUACAUUGAGCACAAAAUUUGUGUUUAUUAGUAUUUUUAGCACACCCUAAGUGGGUGCUUAAUUCAAGAAAACGUAUGAUUAUUUUUUUCAUACUAAGUUACAUAUCAUGACAGACAUAUAUGUAUUUAUCUAAAAAAAAAAAAUCUAAAGUUCCUACUUUAGAGGAAGUUAUUGUAUUUAAAAUCAUAGUGGAGAAAAAAAUAGGGAUGUAAACGAGUUAGUGCGAUGAAGCGAUUGUGACAAAUUUUUUUUAACAAUAUAUUGGUAUCAGUUUACCCUUAUAAUUAAAGGUAAAUUAGAAAUUUUAAAAGUGAUACCGUAUGUUUACACCACGCACCGUUACACUAUAUAUACUAUUAUCCAAGGCACACAUUAAUAUAUGUACAACUAGUAAGAAAAAUGUUUGUCAAAUUUGUGGAGUACACAUAUAGAAAUUUUACCAAAAUAAAAAGUAUAAAAAAUAGUUAUUUGGUAGUAAUUCAAAACCAUAAUUGGUAGUUACCAAUGAAAAUUAAGAUUUAUUAAAUAAGUUGAAAGUUAAAAUAAAAAAUAUAUAUUACUUGAUAGAAAUUAUAUUAAUGGUGGAUAAGUGCAUCAAGCGUAGUUUGGACACGCACCCACUCGGCGAAUUUUAGAUCUGUUACGUAAUUGGACAAAAUUAGAAUUGGAGAGGCCCAUUUCUGAUGGUUCGUUGGUUAGCUACUCAGCUUUUGCGCGCUUUAAGCCUUGAACGCUUGAAUUCGCUCUCACGAACAAAACGUCCCUUCCUAAGGAUCUCUCUUAUGAUUUCUAGUUCCAUCUGACGCGACUGACACCAACAAAUUGUCUACAUAUCCUAUCAAUCACUGGAGUCGGCAUAGUGACAUCAAACCUUAACAUGUGUAAAUAAUUUUUGUGAAUUUUUAUGGCCCAUAUCACAUGUGCUUUAAAUUUUUUGGGCCACUGCAUAUUCUCGAUAUGUCGAUUAGGUGCAGAAGACCCCACACACCAUUCAAGUGGGACAAUUGUCAUACGCUUUCUUAUGGAUCACAUACAGCACCAAAGCCUAGAUAAGUUCGUUCAAUUGGUAAAAUCGAAUAAUUUUCUAAAAAAAUAGCUCGUGUGUGUUUAAAUUUUGUUAUCGACACGAGAGCUAUAUUAAUAAAUAAUUUGUAAAAAUUUUUAUAAGCAACUUAUAAUUUCAGAGUCAUGCACUAAUCCGUGAUGGUGAUCGAGUCGAACUCAUCCAAACUUUUUAUUAUAAAAAUAAAAAUGAAAAACAGCACCACAUGGUUUCGUCACAUAUGUUGCAUUUUAUGUUGAACCAAUCUAUGCACAUAGUUUAGCUAAAGAUUUUGCCAAAAGAAAUGAGUUGGGUGGAGGAAUCGUGAGAAACUAAGCUCCGUAGAUUCUAUACUCUUUUUUUUUCCUUUUUUUGACAAUACAUUUGCAUGGGCACGAGAAAAGAAGAGCAACGAUUUCUGGUCUGUCCAUUUUAGCACCACGGGGCAAUCAAAUUUUGUCCUUGCUAUAAUUUGUGCCAUGGACCUGAGUUUGAGAUCCGAUCAUCCAGCCUGGAGUUGGACUGUCGAGUCCACCUACCCCAGCUUAGGCCAUAUCAGUCAAUUUUAAUGGGCUUGUCUCUGCAUGAAAUGGGGCUGUUUUGUUGCGCAAAUUCUUGCUCACAUGUGCAGAGAAGAGUCUCCGUUCGGUAACGGUUCACUUCAUUCAUUUACCCAUUUGAUUUUGAGACCCAACGAAAAAGAAAUUAUCCUUCCGCAGGUAUCCUCGGGACUGGUUCUUUAUUACUCCCUCCAUCCCACUUUGAUAGUCCCGUAUUCCUUUUUUAUCUGUCCCAAAUUGUAGUCCACUUUCCAAUUAAAUAAUGUUGUUAUAUUUUAAUUUUUCUAAAAUACUCUUAUUCAAUGUAAGUAGUUGUUAGUAUAAACUUACCCCAUUUAAUGAGAGUUGAUUCUUUUUUUACCAUCAAUUUAAGUUCCCAUAAAAUUGUACCAUAUUUAAUGUGAGGGUAUUUUAGGAAAAUAGCAAUCUAAAUUUACUUUUCUAACAAAAUUAAUUAUUUUUUCUUAAACUGUGUGAAAAAAGAAAUAAUACUAUCAAAGUGGAACGGAGGGAGUACAAAUUUGUAGAUGUAGAUUCGGCAUUCACUUUUUGCAUUGCAUUUACAUUGUGUUUCAGAAAACGGCCUUCUUUGGAUUGUUAAUUUUGCUCACAAAAAGAAAUUUUUUGGUGAAUAUUCAUUUUACAUAUUUUUAAUUUUUUUUACCUCACAUCUCAUAAAAAGUGCUACAGCAAGUUUUUUCCAAAAAACUUGCCGAAGGUGCAAUCCAAACAACCUCUCGUUUACAAAACAGGUCAUAGUUUUCUAAGAAGAAAAAGAUUAUAUACUUGUAAUUUAUGAAUUAUGAUAUCGCCUGGAAAACAUGGUUUUUUAUUUGGAAAAUAAAUUUUUUUACUACAUCAUAUACAUGCUUCCAAUUAUCUUUCAAUCUCAUUUGCAUACAUUACAAAAAUAUAUAUAUAUAUAUAUAUAUAUAUUAUGAAAUUAUUUUAAAAGUUUUCCCAAAUAAUUUUCUAUCUCUAUAAUAAUUAGCUUUUGUUUGGAUACACCAUUUUCUUUAUAAAAAAAUAUUUUGCUUGUAUCAUAAAUGCUUUUCUGAAUCUCUAUUUUAUUUUCUCAAUUAACCUUUUUUAUUUUACACACAUCAUAUUACAAAAUAUAUUACAAUAAUAUUUCAAAAAAAAUUAUAAAUAAUCGUCUUUGUAAACACACAAGUAUCUUGAACUCGUUUAGUCGAUGAUUGCAAUCUAGGAUCUGUCUGGGUGGCCCUUUUUUGCUUGUUUAAAAAAAAAAAAUUGAUUCAAACACUGUCUACAGUAAAUAUCAAAGACCCGUACGGUUUCGAAAGCAUUAAAAAAUACAUUAAAUACGAAAUCGGUAGCAGAGGCGAGUACAAUGGUGAGUGGCAAAAAUUCGCGAUGGUGGUUGACAGGUGCUGGAGGGCGGAGAACAGUGUUCUUGGUAUUUUCAACAAAUAUCAAUAUAUUAAAAAAAAAUAAGUACAUUUGUAGUAAUAUUUUAGAUAAAUACUCAGAAGAAGAAACAGACUACUCGAGCAGAGUCUGUAGAAAUAUUGAACAGCCUGAAACUACUGGUCCAUGCUCGAACUCCAGAAAAAUCAUAUACCAAAAUGCUUUUUAUAGAAAACGAGGCUGACAUCUCAGAGGCAGUAUGAUUACUAAAUCCUUCGGCUUGUGGGUAGGGACGCUAAUAAGUCGUCGCUCAUAAAGAAAAUUCCAAAAAAUUAAGAAAACAACACCGCUAAGGAAAAACUCAGGUCAAUUCAGAAGCAGCAAUGGUUAGACUGAGUGCAGAAGGGACCAGCCAGCAUAGAAGGCCUACCGAAUAAUUUGGUGUUCUAUAGCAAAUACUGGGAAGCAUGACCACUGUUACAAAGCUUGACAGCUGAAUUCCGAGUCUUUGCAUUUACUUGCGAAAAGCUUGACAUGGGCAAGUGUUAAACGGCAAAGAGGAUGCUUAAUCUGACUACUUUUCGACUCUGAUGGGGCAACAAUAGUCCUCUAGCUAGGGAACUCAUUAUUGAUGAACAUCUAGCUUACCUCUCCCAAAGGAAAGCCCGGAAGAAGGGCAGGAACGGUUGGAUCCUGCGACCAAUUCCUAAAAGCUCACGGCCAAGAUUUAGUUAAAAAAAAAUAUAAAAUUCAUAUUUUAUCUUAUAUUUGAUUUUUCACACCAUGUAUGGGAUUCUAAAAUUUUAUUCUAUAAUUGCAUAUUAUUAAACAUGAGUUAUGUCGUGUGCGGAUAGCGUUACACCGUGUGCAUUUUGUACAAAACCGCAUCCGAAUGAUUUUCCUGGUUACCGUUCCGCCCUUGUCCUCACCUUCAUUCAAUGCAGAGGCUGAAAACAACAACCAGAAAUUUUAGCAACAGAGACUGACUACUUCUGCUCUGAGCAUCCACCACAAGCCUAGAAGCCUCUGUUAUUUGAAGUAUUAUCUUACAGGGGCACCUUUGAAAGUAGUUCUUACUUUUUCAUCCAAAAAGAAUCUACAAAAACUGUUAGCAUUAAGCGCAUCAAUGGAGCCAAUGCUUCUAUAAUUUGUGUUUAUUAAUCCUUUCUUUUAAUUUUAAUUUUUUGGGUAAUUCCCUUCUUUUAAUUUGAUCUUCUCGUGGACUUUGUUCUAGCUAACAAAAAGUAUUGAACUUCUUGUUCCACGGCUCUGGCAGGUAGUGAAGCAAAAAUUGCCGGAAUGCAUCAUUUCCCCUGUUGACCGCAAGGGAGAACCUGCAAACCAUGUCAUAGUUAAAAGGGAAAAAAAAAAAAAAAAAAAAAGCCCAAAACAGAGAACCGGGUGAACGGUGGGAGGCUGUGUUUAAUAGAAGGCUUUAACAGUUCAACGUUGACAAUAAUGUUAGUUCCUCAUAUUUGUAAAACCAUCCACAAAUAAAUUAGAAAAUUACAGAAGCCACAAACAUAGAUGACCCAAAAAAGUAACUUGGAUCAGGAAAAGGAAAAACUAAUCCUAAAUCCUAACUCCUACGGCCUAACCAACUUCAGCAGUAAUGUUCUGCAACAUUAGUACUAAUAUACAAAAAGUAAGAUGAGCAACAAACAAUUAAUAGCAGGCGCUAUCAGGUCUCCUUUCAAAACAAGACUGGAUUUCGACAUAAGGUUCCCUUGUCGACAUCAUUUUAAAUAGAAGAUCAAGGUCGGGAUGCUGGAAAUACCCAUCCUUGGGCUUCUGGGGCAUGCUCCUCUGCUGCUGCUUCUGCUUCUUCGUGUAAACUCGUUUCCUUUUUGGGGCUGGCGGACACUCCGCCGCCACCACCGGAAUCCUGGACCCCUCGUGCGUCGGUGUCCUAUAGCCUUCCUCCACCUCCUCCUCCCCCAUCAUCAUCCCACAAUGAUCAUAUCCGCCACCGACCUCCAUGUUCAAAAUGUCAUUCAAUCCUCUCGGCUAACCAACAAAGAUGCUCAGCUGCUAGUAUGCAAAGUUGCAAACGAAACAAAAUGGAUAGAUAUGAACCGGGUCAGGGUCUCACUCUAUAUAUACAGAGACCAAAAUUUAGGUGGCAGUAAUGGUUGGCAAUAUACGGCCUAUGGCUUCUUGCGGAAGCUGUCAAGCUUAACUGCUAAGUGUAAUUCUUUGCAUAACACAUUUUGACUCAUCCAAUCUUUUGGUGGAAGCAACUCGUGACUUCGUCCUACUGGGCUUCCACGUGGCACAAAAAAGCUACAGCCUUUCUUUGGGCACCAAGUGGCAAGUGCAGUGACCCGUUUCGCUUGCAUGGCAGUGGUUGCAAAUUUGCGGAUAAGGUGUCGGUGUAGUUGUGUUUUGUAAAGUUCUGCUCAAUUUAUUAAUCGUGUUCAAAUUUUUUAUGUGUGUAUAUAUAUAUAUAUAAAUAUUGUACUAAAUACAUGUUAAGUAUUUUAUUUUUAUACAUCAUUUUUUACUAAAAAUAUAACAAUGUAAUAUGAUUAUAUACCAAAUAAUAUAUAAAGUAUAACAAUUAGACUGAUUCCUUUCCCCAUAUUUGCAAUAUUUGCACGGAAAGCAAGGAUCAAUUUCAUUUUUGUUUGGAUAGAUGUUUAUUUGGAUUAUUUAUUUGAGAUAAUUACUGUAGUACUUUUUGUGAUGUGAUGUAUGCGAAAUAAAAAAAGUAAUUGUAAAGAUAAAAAGAUGAUUAGAAUUUGUGAAGCAAAUUAUUUUAUCUCAAAUCACCUCAAUCCAAACACAUUCAUUGUGUAAUUACACCACGGUAGAACAAGAUAAAGGGUCAAGUUAGUGAAAGGUUUAAAAGAAGUUGAGGGAUGAUUGACACCAUAAAGCAUAAGGUUUGUUUGGAUUGCAACUUUUUGAAGUUUUUGUAGAAAAUGUAUGUAACAAUUUGACAUAUUUGAGAUAAAAAGAUAAUUGAAAAAUAUGUUUACGAAAACGAAUAGAUUUUUUUGAUAAAAAGAGAUUUUUUGAUAACUUUUCUUUUAAAAAAAAAAUUUACUCCAUUCAAGAGAAUUCUAACUUCUUGUUGAUGAAUGUCUUUGUAUCUUGUAAAUAAGUUAUGAGCCAUGUUGAUUGAUUUAUUUAAUGCACUAAAAAAGUUAACUAUAAUGGACACACCUUUUCAUUUCCCCGAGAGCCAAAAUAGAAAAAAUGCGAUUUUAAUCAACAUGAUCAACUACUAAUAAAGUGCUCCUGUAAGUUAUUUUAUUGCAUUAAUUUGUUACGUCUUGUUUGGAAAGAGAUUUUUCAUUAAUAAAAUAUCUAUAUUUUUUUAUAAACAUAUAUUUUUAAUUAUAUUUUUACUUCAUACAUAUCAAAUCAAUAUAGUAUAUUUUUUUAUAAAAAUAUCAAAAAAUUUACAAUUCAAACACAACCUUAUGCUUAGUUUUGGAGUUUAUGAAGGAAGAGAAAAGAAAAGAAAAGAUAGCUUAGGAAAGAAAGGAAGAGAAGGGAAAAGAUGCAUAUUCCGUUUGGGAGUUUAAUGAAAGAAAAGAAAAGAAAUAUCUUUCUCUUAUUUGAGAGUUGGAGAGAAAUGGAUAGAAAGGAUUUUAUGAGAAUACAAUUUUACAUAUUUACCCUUUCAAUUUGUAAAUCAAAGUCCAAAAAAUAGCUUUCUUGUUCCUAUAAAUAGAAUAUUUGAACAAGAUAAAUUUCUAAAACAAUUGUAUUUGCAUUCCCACAAGGUGAAUAAUAAAACAAAUUUCUUGCUAGACUUCGAUUCUCUUGCAUGCAUGUAAAUCGCCUCAAGUCCUUGUAGUAUCUUUUAGGUAUUCUUGACAUAUGAUUUUUGAUAUUGGUCGGAAAUGCCUAAUAGAUUAUCUAUUUAACAUAAAUUAAAUAUUUUUUAAAAAAGAAAUAUCCCAUAAAGUACUAGCUCUUUAUGGUUUUUCUCUAUUACAUGAGUCAAGUACCAGGUUUUUAUGGAUAUUUUAUUUUGAAUAAUUUAAUUUAUGUUAAAUACAUAAAUAUUUGCAAAUAAAAUUCAAAAGCCGUUACACAAAUAUUUUUACGAAAGGAAAACUAGCAUGUUUUGUAUUUAAUAUAAAUGAAGUAUUUGAAAGUAAAAAAAAUUUGUCCAUAACAUACCAGUUCUUUACGAGUUUCUUUCAUUAGAUGAAUAAAAUACUAGCUAUUUAUGAGCAUUUUACUUUGAAUCAUUUAAUUUAUAUUAAAUACAUAAAUUUAAUUAAGUCAAGUUCAAAAAGUGUUACACUAAUAUUAUUACGAAAUGAAAACUAGUAGGUUUUAUAUUUAACAUAAAUUAAAUACGUGAAAGUAAAAAAAAAAAAAAAUUACCCAUAACAUAUCAGCUCUUUAUGGAUUUUUUCUAUUACACGAAAUACCUUUUGUUUGGUGAAUUAAAGAAAUACCAUUUGUUUGGUGAAUUAUGAAUGAAAAACAGAAGAAAGCCAAGUUUUCUCAACUUGCUGGAAGUAUUGAAAGUACAGGACACAUGACCGAGAAAGCUUUGCGGUGCUUUUAUAGAAAUCAAUUUUAGGAUAUAUUGGGAAUAAUAAAUUUUUGUAUCAGCUUUUAAAGGGCAAACUUGACAUAUUAAAAAUGUUUUUUGGAGCCCAAUAAGUUUCCAUCCUUUUCUUCCCACUUUUGGGCGGAAACAUUUUCAAUAAUUGGAGGGAGACUUUUAUCCAUUCAUUUCACUUUUCUUCUGUCUUGUUAAACUCCCAAAUGAAAGAAAUGACCGUUCUUUCUCUUUGAAUACUUUUUUUUCUGUCAUUUUCUCCCUAUCCAAAUGAAGCCUUAGGAGGGAUCCAAUUUAACGAGUAGGAACCUUACUUAGGUAAUCAUCAAGUUUUUAAACAAGGGAGAGAUAAAAGGGGGAAUAAAAACCGUGCAGGGGAGCCGUAUUGUUGGGGGAGGGCAAACGACAAAAGACAAGAAAGGCGUAAGGCUCAAGACGAAGCGCGCGAAGGUGCACGGAAGCGGUGGCUCGAAUCUGAACCUCUCGCUUAGACUUUAGACUUUAUAGAGUGGGGACUGGGGAGGGGAUUUGCUUUUAGGCUUUUAGCGAGCUCGAUCAAUUUGAUGAAAAGGAUAAGACUUUAUUCGUCGCCUUAAGCUGAUAUAAUAAAUAAUUAUUCUCUUUGAUGGGGCCGGACCAACAAACAAGUAAUGGGCUAAUGGGCCAGGCUAAGGGCUAUAGAUGGUAACACGUGUAAGAAGAAGGGCUGAUAACGUCGUUUUCGUGUGGACUCAGGACUGUGCCUACUUUUGGAGGAUGCUACCCCGCGUGGUGUUACGAAGUGACUCGAAAGUUUGGACUUUUGGCACCACGGCGACUCGAAGGGUGAAGAAGCUGAAGAGGGGCGCGCGUUCAUUUCCAUUUUCCACCUUGCCUUUCGAGUUUAUCUUCGUCCUGAUAUGACGUGAUUGCUCGGGAGGCCUUUUUGGUUGAACUGGAUUCUUCUUCUACUUUUCUUUAUGAUGAUGGGGUGGAGAAACAUUUUACAGAUGGUCUAAACAUUUUACAAUAUAUGAUAUACAUUUUCUUUCGUAUUAUAUGAUAUACAUUUUACAAUAGAUGUUCAUAAGAGUAUAUUUCCAUCCUGGGAAUUCUAGUCUUGACAAUUGGUUGAGCCUUUUCGGUUAGCUUUUCUAAUUUUUGGAAAAUUGGCUUAAUUUUCCAAAAAUGAUCUUCGCACAUCGGAAUGAGAACUGACUGUCAUGUACAUGAAAUUGUAUUUUGAAUAAUUACUAACUACCAGUCUUUGGGCUGUUGGCCACCACUAAGCCAUUCAAAUUUACCUUCAAUCAAUUGUCAUAUUAAGUGGCUUCUUGAAAAAAAUUCAGACAGAUGCGUAGUGUAUCCGUUUGGUCCGGUGGUGGUUCAAUCCCCAUCGACCCCCGUAGACCCAGUUGGAUCUCCUCCUUAGAUUAUAUAAUAGUGUAGGAUACUAUAAAUAAAGUGACAAUUGACACAAAAAAAAUUACGUGUAUUUUAUGAAUUUUCUUUCGUAUUAUAUGAUAUACAUUUUACAAUAGAUGUUCAUAAGAGUAUAUUUCCAUCCUGGGAAUUCUAGUCUUGACAAUUGGUUGAGCCUUUUCGGUUAGCUUUUCUAAUUUUUGGAAAAUUGGCUUAAUUUUCCAAAAAUGAUCUUCGCACAUCGGAAUGAGAACUGACUGUCAUGUACAUGAAAUUGUAUUUUGAAUAAUUACUAACUACCAGUCUUUGGGCUGUUGGCCACCACUAAGCCAUUCAAAUUUACCUUCAAUCAAUUGUCAUAUUAAGUGGCUUCUUGAAAAAAAUUCAGACAGAUGCGUAGUGUAUCCGUUUGGUCCGGUGGUGGUUUAAUCCCCAUCGACCCCCGUAGACCCAGUUGGAUCUCCUCCUUAGAUUAUAUAAUAGUGUAGGAUACUAUAAAUAAAGUGACAAUUGACACAAAAAAAAUUAUUAAAAUGUGAUAUAUGUAAGAUAAAAAAAUGGUUGAUAAAAUUUUAAGAAAUUAAUUAAGAAUUACGUUUGUUGUGCAAAUAAAAUAUUAUUUGAAAUAGAAUUUCCAUCCAAACACAGGCAUAUAAUUUUUCUCCGGGAACUCCCAAAGAAACAGACCAAACGGGCUUGGUAAUGCUUUCAACAAGUGGCCGAAUUCGCACUACUGGGCCAAGGAUCGUUUCCUUUUUGGUCUACCGGAUUGUUUUGGCAACUGAUUAAACUUUGUGAUAUUGGACCGGCCCUGGUUUGCUGAAGGAAGUCAUUAGUCAACAAAGAUUUGUUGGAAAGAUAGAAGACCAUUGAAAACAAAGCAUGUCAAGAGUAAAUACUUAAUUUAAAUAGUAAAAGGUUGUUAAUACUAGUAAAUACUUGUAUUAUACUACAACAUUUAACCCUUUAUGCACACAUCAAAUGUUCUCUAUCAAAAAUAUGAAAUCUCAAUUUGAUGAAAUUAUUCUAUUUUAAGAAAGCAAUUGCUUGAGAAAUAAACUUUUCGACAUAGGAUCAACACUUAUUAAAUCAACUCAUAAUAAAGUUUAGGAUCUAUUUUGAUUUUUUUCCAAAAUAAUUUAGGAAGUGUGUUUGGAUAGUAGAUUAUUUGAAAUAUUUUUUUAAAAAAAUAUUGUAUCACUUUUUAAAUAAAAUAUAUGUAAGAUAAAAGAUGGUUGAAAGAUGUGUUUUGCUCCAUCCAGUGAUAAUGGCAGGUAAGUUGACUUGUGGUUUGGAAAUGAAUUGAUGAGUUCAAUCAGAAAGGCCAACUAGUUCACGUAUUGGUCAAAAUUUCUAAUACGUGAGUAAACAUUUUCUAUUGCAAAACAAGAUCAUUUAGUAUUUUGCACUAAAAUAUACUAGAUUGUUUAGUGAAAAUUUGUACUGCAACAAAAGUGAUGGUUUUGUGCAAGCAUAAACAAAUAAAAUGGGAUUGAUGCAAGUUAUAAAUACCUUUAGUUUAAAUAUCACAAUUUAUCUGUAUCCUCAAACUUCUUUUUUUGUUAUUUAUUUCUCAGGUCAAUGAGAUUGCUUAUAAAGUUAUUGAAAUAAAAAAAUUAUAUUAAAUUCGAUUAAAAAAUAAAUCAACAUUAGAGUUUAUUUCUCACUGCAAUGAAAUUGCUUAUAAAGUUAUUGAAAUAAACAAAUUAUAUUUAAAUUGGGUUAAAAAAUAAAAUCAACGUUAGAGGUAACUCAUGCAAUUGGUUGCACAUUGAUCUUUAAAAAAAAAAAAAAAAAAUUUCUCUGCGUUUGAGAUUGUAGUAAACGUUCUUCCAUUCUAUGCUUCAAAAAAAAAAAAAAAAAAACUUCCAUUCUAAUUUCACGCUUCAUGCAAAGUGCUAUUGCAUGUGCCACAAGAAUUUAUGCAAAAACGUAAACGUUAAAUAACUCGAAUUUAUUAAUUCACCAUUAUAGUUCUAGAAUUCUACUCCUGUCCAUCCGAUUUAAAAAAUGUGUAUUUCGAUUAGAGUUCUAGAAAUUUACUCCAGUCCAUAUUUUAAUAAGAAAUUAUUUACACAAAUUUAUCUGUUUACAUUAUAAAUAUAUUUUUAAUUUUUUUUAAUAUUAUAUAUAUUAUGUCAAAAAAUAUUUUUAAAAAAAUUAUUCCAAAUAAUCUUCAAUCCGGAGGCGUUCCAAUGUAACUUAGCCGGUUCAAUUAAACUGGUAAACUUGGAGGAGGGAUGGACGCAGAGCUGAACCGGUCCGCCCUCACCAGGUAGACGCUAGGAAAGCCGCUUCAUGAAAAAAGGUUCUUCUUUCUCUGCAAUAAAACCUCUUCACCAUUUGCAGUUGAGGUGGGAAAGUAACUAGGGUUCACCCGCCACAUCUACAGUAAAUACCACCAAAAAAGAAAAGGAAAGAAAAAUGCCAUUCAUAUCGAAGAUAGAGAGGCAGACGGAUUACACCCAGUUCGAUUCAACUGUCCCCAUCGUCAUCGACAAUGGCGGUUCAUAUUUCCGCAUUGGGUAACAAAAGCCCUAAUUCUUUGGUUCGCUUAGAUUAAUUUGCGUUGUGAAGUUGUGUUUUGAUAAAAUUACCGAUAAAUUACAUCCUUCAAUUAUGAUUUGGUCUGGUGAUAGCUGGGCAGGGGAGGAUGAGCCUCGGGUUAUAUUCCGGAACAUUGUUCAGAGGCCUCGCCAUAAAACCACUGGUAUCUCUUGAUAUACAUAUAUUCACAUAUAUUUGUAAUUUUCACUAGUGUAAUUUUUCGGCAUUAUGCCAAUGUUAAUCUCCCUGCCUCUGAAGUUGGAUUUGAACUGAAUAUACCAUUGUGCUAGAUUUUUCCCCCAUCUUCUUCUUCUUCUUGGUUUUUUUUUUUAAUUUGAGCAUGACAUGAAUGAUGGAAAACUUUUUUUAACGGUAGGCUAGAUAUCUCUUUUAUAUACUCGUUCAACAUAAGCAAAAAUUUAUGGGUCAUGUGCAUACCAAACUUCUUUUACCAAAGUUUUGAUUUUUGAUUAAGAUGAACGAGCUUCAAAUGUCUUCCACCCUCAAUUUUUGGUGAUCUCCUGUAAUUGAAUUCUUUCAGUUUUAUUUUUAUUAUUAUUAUUCCUGUAAUUGCACGAGGGCGCAGUAUAUCUGCUUCUUUGUUUUUGCUGGAGCACUAGAUUGAGUGUAAUUAAUACAGUCAAAUGAUUUAUGUAUUUACAUUUGUGGUCUUUCCUGUUCCACUCAACCUAUAAUUUAUGAUCUGAAUGGAAAGAACAAAACCUCUGCAUUCACAUGUUUUAGAUUGCAGAGAUUUUGGACUCAUGGGUUCAAAAUGGUAGCUUCACAUGUUUGAAUCUACACGUAGUUCCGAACUUCUACUUCUUUAUAAUUUGAUUUUACAUCAAUUAAAAGUUUUUUCUGCAUUCUUUCUAAUGCAGGUGAAACAGUCACAGUUGUUGGUGAUCAUAACCCAGCGCUACUAAGAUAUUUUGAUUGCACACGUUCAGGACCUCGUUCGGCUUUUGAUGGCAAUGUCGUGUAUCAGUUUGAGAUAAUGGAAUAUGUAAGUUUCAUUAAUUUUGAGUAGUAAAUGGGUUUCAAGUUACCUUGCUGAAACUUUUCACUCUAUAUUCUCCAAUGAAUACUCUUUACUGUAGAAUGGUGAUCAACUUGUUUCAUAAUUCUAAUAGGAUAGAAAGCACGCCCUCUGUGUCCAUAUGCGUCACACAGUUAGCAGUUACUUUCACCCUGUCAAUAAUGAGAUACUAAAAGUCGGUACUUUGUUAGACUCCUAAGAAGCAUGUGUUAUGUGUUACAUAUUAAUAACUUGCUUUCUCAAUCUGCAUCACAAAACUUACAUCUGUCAUUUUGUAGAAAUUUUCUCAGUGAAUUACCAUCUUGAUUUUAUGAGUGUUUACUAGCCAUAUACCAAUCUUUGGAGUUUGUUAAGCAUACAAAAGCCCCAAAUCAUUCUAGCCUCUUACUGCUUUAUAUAAUAUUACCUGAGGUCAUAUAAGCAGUAUGUUUGAUAUUCAAGCAGUUUCCUCUGAAAUCCACCUUACUCUUUAUACAAGUCUGAACUGACUAAUUAAUGCCUAAACGCUUAGCUUCAGUUAUAGCAAUUGUACAUCUUACAAAAUGUAAAGUUUAACAGAACAAAGAAAGUCUGAUUGGGGGCUGUAGAUGAAUGUAGAAUAAGGCAGAAUACAUGAUACAUAAUGUAAUUUUCCUUUUAUUUUUCAGCUUUUCGUUAAUCCAAAUUUUUGGAUAUUUUAAUAUGUUCCAUCAAGUUAUCUUCAACAUGUUUGUAUGAUGCUAUUUUGCAUUGAUUGGAAACUGAAACAUCUUUGUUUCUUACAUCUCCUUUAUGUUCACAGAUCAAGUUGCUGAGUUGUGUGUUUUUUCUUGUAUGUAUAGAUUCUUGACUUCGGUUUUGAUCGAUUAGGUGCUGAUCAGUCGCAGGUACUGCUACAUCACCUUUCAAUUCUUUACUCAGCUAUAUCAAAGUUAUUUUUGGUGUGAUCUGAUGUAAAAUGCAAUGCGAGGUUUAUCAAUUCGGAAGCUGCUGGUUUUUCUUACUGUCGUCAUAUUUUAUGUGAUUAUUCAGUUUUGCUUGCAAAGCUAUUUAUGUUGUAGCGUGAAUAGAUAGUAGCUUUAUUCUUGGAGAUCUGUUUGUCAUUGCGUUCAUCCCCCCUAGUUUUACUUAUUAAACUUUUGUGACAUUUCGUACAGACCAAAUGUUUCGUGUUGAUUUUUUGCGUGUCAAAAGUCAACUGUUCAUAUAAGCAGUUGAGAUUCCGAUUUGCACUUUAUAUAUAACUGAGGUAAAUACUGUGGGCUCAAAGCAUUGAAUGUCUUCAUUGAUCUCUUUAAAGAACUUACAAGCUUUCUUUGCAAGUUCAAGCAGGCAAUGUUUGACAUCCCAAAAAUUCUGUGGUUUAGAAUAAGCUUUUUAUGUCAAUUUGAUUCAUUUCUUCAUGUUUAUUUUUGUGCAGCUUAUACAUGUCUGACUUCAUUUAUGUUGUUUGCAAUAUUUAUCACUUCAUAUUUGAUUCCUGAAUUUCUUGAUUUUAGAUAUCAGCAUUGGUAAUAUUCAUGUAGUUGAUUUGAUGGCAGAACAGAUUGACCAUCCUGUUUUGAUCACUGAGUGUGCUUGCAAUCCUAUCCAGUCUCGUUGUAGAAUGGCAGAACUUCUUUUUGAGUCUUAUGGAGUUCCUUCAAUAGGUAUGCUUGCCAAUUGUUAGUUAACUGAAGCUUCUGCUUGUUUGGGCAAAUAUUUUAGUUUGACUAUGAAACAGGGAUGCAAACCCUUAAUAUUAUUGUCAACUGCAUGUUUUAUCUUUUUAUGGAUGUAGCAUGAUUGACACACCAUGGUCACAGCAUAUUGUACUUGUAUUUCUCAUUUUAUAUGGUCUGAUGCCAUGAGUGCUUGGACUGUUGCUAUUUUAAUGUAUCACUUACUUUUUACUUUCCCUUUAGCAGCAUUUGGUGUCGAUGCCGCAUUCAGCUACAAGUACAACCAACAACUUGGAAUAUGUAAUAGUGAUGGUCUUGCAAUUUGCUCAGGAUUUAUGACUAGUCAUGCUAUUCCGGUAUGCUUCACUUGUUUUUAUUGAAGUUCAUAGUGAUUUUGUGGAUAAUUCCAAUUACAUGGAGCAUUGAGUACAGAAACAUAACCAUCACAAAUCUCAACUAUGCGUCACUGCCACAAUUCUUUUGCUGUUCCAUUAAAGGUUAGGUUAGUUUAUUCUGAAGUUCAGUGCCAUACCAAGUCACUAUCUUGAUCUGGUGCCACUGAGACUACUAUUGGUAUUAAGUAUGAAAAGACCUACAUGGAAUAAAUUAUGUUCUUCUGGAAGAAACAUGUUGUGCAUGUAGGGUACACCCAUGCUUAAUAAUUUCAUGAAUUUUGCCAUUAAUUUUUGUAGAUCAACACAAAUAUGCUUUGCCUAUGACCUAUUAAAGAAUUAGUUAUCUAUCUGUAUUUGCCGAAGUUUUGUUGGAUAUGCACAACCUGUAGGCCUGUCCUACAAACCAGCCAAACACCUAAGCUUGAGCUUGGCAUCAUGGAUUCAGCCAAGUACAGCAUCAGGUAGUUCACAUGUUGCUCAUAGGUGGAUGCUGAAAUUUUACUUUUAGUGGGCAACCUAUAAUUGACUUGUGAUAAAUAUUCUCAAACUCUACGGGGGCAAUACUUUAGUUUUGUAAAGGAGUAGUUUGAAGAAUUCCAAAUUUUCAAGGGGUGGAAAGGUAAUAUCUUGGAUAAGUAGGGUGGUGGUCCUCCCCUACACCCCUGCAACCAAAGGUCUGGGAUGGAUUGCUCGAGAUUAUUUGUGGUGCAAGGUUUGCAGAGUUUGGUGUUUGGCAUAUGUAGUGCCUUGAAUAUAAUAUUUUAGCCCAGGAUUGCUUAUAACCAGCUUAAGAUGCUUCUUUAAGGCUCAAGCUAGAAGAAGAUGAAUCACUGAGCUAUGAACCAAAUUGAGCAGCAUCCUUCUCACUGGGGACUAGGAAUGUUUGACAGCUGAGCAAUGGUUUACUGCGGGGAAUUAUGAAGCCAGAAUAACAAAGUGAAACAUUAACACCUGCAUGUAAUACCAGUUAAUGUAUUCAGUCUCUGAUACUUAUCCUAGUGUUAUAUGAAGUACUGCACCUUAACAACUUGCGAUGGUCUACAAUGUAUAUGUGUAAGUUUGAAUUCUUAUCCAUUUUUCCUAUCACAGUUCAUAAAUGGAGAACCUGCUUACGAAGCAUGUUGCCGAACUAAUGUUGGUGGAUACCAUGUUACCGAUUAUCUGAAGCAGCUUCUCUCACUUAAAUAUCCCCAUCACAUGUAAGCUUGAGAAUGCCGAUCCCUCUGUAAAUGCAAUUGAAACUUUUCUUCAUUUGUUUUUUAGUCUUGAUCGCUUAUUUUUUUCAAACAGUUCUAAGCUCACAUGGGAAAAAGUUGAAGACCUUAAGAUGGAACACUGUUACAUUGCACCAGAUUAUACAUCAGAAGUCCGAAUAUUUAAGGUAGUGUAGUUUGGUCUUUUUGACUUGUCUGCAACUACUCUGCUUUGCUUUGCAAUCAUCUAAGCAAUUCUUGUAACAGAAAGGGGCUAAAGAAGCUGAAGAAAAGACCAGGUGCUGGCAGCUUCCUUGGACUCCAGCACCAGUGGAAGAACAACCUUCAGAAGAAGAGUUAGCUAGAAAGGCAGCUCUAAAGGAGAGACAGGGUCAAAGACUAAGGGAGAUGGCUGAAGCAAAGAGGUCCUCUCGAAUUAAUGAGCUUGAAAAUGACAUUAGAGGUUUGGAAUUCCUCUUAAAGCAGCUCAAGCAGGUUGAAGAGAAUAAUGUUCCUGCAUUUCUCAGAGAGACUGGCUAUGCCUCUAAACAGGAAAUAGAAUCUAAUCUGGCAAAGGCAAUACAAUCUUUACGCAAAGCGAAGGGUGAACAAGUUGAAACUGAGGAGAAGAUGGACGCUUCCACGGCUGACAAGUAUAAUCUUGUCAAUGUGCCUGAUGAUGUGCUGACACCGGAGCAGGUGUGUGUUCCGAUUCCAAGUGUUCUAACAGAUCUUUGUUUUAUAGUUUCUGUUGAUUUUGGUAUUUUCUACUGCACAGCAAUUCCUAGUUAAAUAAGAUACAAGACCAGUGAAUGGCUGCUAAAUUGGAACCACAGUAUGGUUUUCAUAUUCUGUUCGUAACUUUCAGAAAUUUAAAUUUUGCACUCUUGUUUCCAUGGCAGCUUAAAGAAAAAAGGAAGCAGUUGUUUCUCAAAUCCACAACUGAGGCCAGGCAACGAGCUAAACAGAAGCGGAUUGAAGAGGAAUUAGAAAGAGAAAAGCAAAUGAAAUUGGAGGAGGAAAAGCGCUUGUAUGUUUUUGAUAAGCAAUCUUAACUUGUCUAAUCAUUGCUUGAUGAUAUUGUAGAUAUGUAGUCUCUUUUACGUUGUUAUUAUUACAUUAUGCUUUGCUUCUGAAUGUAGAGAGAACCCAGAACGUUAUUUGGAGGAUUUACGUGCUAAAUACCGAGAGCUUUCUGAGAAAGUGGAGCAGCGAAAACGCUUGAAGACAAAUGGCAACAACACAAAUGGGAACCAAAAUGGUUCUGGAGGUGUGGGCCGUGGUGAAAGAUUGAAUGCUGCUCAAAGAGAAAGGAUGCGCCUCCUGACAACAGCUGCAUUUGAUCGAGGGAAGGGCGAGGACACUUUUGGUAUCAAAGAUGAAGAUUGGCAACUUUACAAGCUAAUGAGUAGAGAUGAUGAUGAAGAAGAUGAGAAGUCAAAUGAGGAUGAAGCAGACCUUGCUCGCGUCUCUUCAAGACUGCGGGUUUGUGAUUUUUUUAGAUCUCACGUCCUUGUGCGUUCUUACAGAUAUUUCUUUUAGCAAUUUCAUCCAUUUUUGCCUGUCAUAUCUGUACAGGAAAUAGAUCCGACAUUUUUUCCCAAAGCAGAGUCAGGAUCCUCAACUGCGGAGCCGCCACGAUUUCGUCCUCUAACUAAGGAAGACUUCCAGCUCAUUCUAGGAGUAGAAAGAUUCCGGUGCCCUGAGGUUCUGUUCCAGCCCAACUUAAUUGGGAUAGAUCAGUCAGGGCUGGAUGAGAUGGCUGGGGUAUCAAUAAGAAGGUUGCCGUGUAAGAACCAAGGGUUGGAAGAGAAAAUAACAAAAUCAAUCCUUAUGACUGGUGGGAGCUGUCAAUACCCGGGAAUGGCUGAGCGCUUGGAAGCUGGGAUUAGGAUGAUUAGGCCAUGUGGAACACCUAUAACAGUUGUCAGAGCAUCAGAUCCAAGUCUUGAUGCAUGGCGUGGAGCUUCUGUUUAUGCUGCUGCCAUGCAAUUCCCCAAUCAGACAUUUAGUAGGACGGAUUACUAUGAAAAGGGCGAAGAUUGGUUGCGGAGAUAUCAAUUCAACUACACACUUUGAUUGUUGUAGAUGAACUUUAUAUAUUGUUAGGGCUUCCUUGGCUUGGUGCUAUUGAGAAGUGCUCAUAACUUGGGAAUUUGCUAUUUUACACCAUUCAUCUAUAUAUUUAUGGGUAUAGAUUGAUGCAUCUGAAUUCUCCGAGCUGUCCGGCUCUGCUCAUUGAUGAACUAGUAGGGAACUUUUGUAGUUGUCCCGGAUAUAAUAUACGAAGUACUUCCGUAGCCUCGUGAUUAAUCUGCCAGGUUCUGCCUCCCUCUUGCACUUGAUUAAUUUAUUAUUAAUUUUACAGUGCUAUUUUGAUAGAUCGUUGAAGUUAUAUUUUUUAAAGUUAAUUUUAUAUACACUAACAAUAUAUAUUAUAUCAUGGUUAGAUGUGUAUCACAUUUAAACAUUGAAUUGCUAGUUAGAUGCAUGUCACGUUCAUACGUCUAUUUUCAUCAAAAUUAUUUUUCCUUUCAAAUCCACUUUAAAGAAACAAGACCUUGAUAAUAAUAAUAAUAAUAAUAAUAAUACGAGAUGUCAUAAUCUCUUUAUGAGGAUAAUAAUUGUACGACAGAUGAAUGUAGUGAUCUACAAAUUUCAUCUUGACGAACAAGACAUAGCGAACUCCAUGGCUGAUCUCCCCGAAUUUGCUUGUUCAGAUUUAUAGAUUUUUCCCCCUCCAUGAAUGACUUCCUUGGUCCUUCCCUCCCAAAAGGGGUUAACUAAGAGCUGAUAUCUCCACUGAACUCUCCAGUAAAGAAUAACAACAUCAGCCCGGUCCACGAACGGCUACUUUUUCGCAAACCAGCCCAAAAAAUAAAUCAGAUAAUCAAAGAGUUAAGGCUCCUCCGCCCAUAUGACAAAAAGUUCCACAAGGCUUCCCCGGCACAAAUGACCGUUAGAACAUGACCAAUCUUCUUCAAAUCCCUAAACGCCCUUUACGUUUCCUUACACAGAAAAAUACGAAAAAAAAAAAAAAAACUAACCGUUGAGCUCCCCUCCCACCAGCUCAGUCCGCUCCAUUUCCAUUCCUACACUGCCCACCCUUCCCUGCUGACAUUCUCCUCCUCCCGACUAAAACUCUUGAAAAAGCCCUCUCUUAAACUCUCUUCUCAAACAGAGAGGGCCUCUUUCAAAUUAUUCUUUAGAAGGUGAAAGAAAACAGCAGAAGUUACAGAUCAACAAAGGAAAAAAGUUGAACUCAGAAACAGAAAAAUGGACUCAACUCAAAGAAGAAAAAGUGGGAUUAACCUUCCAGCUACAAUGUCUGAGACCUCUCUUCGGCUGGAGGCCUUCUCAUCCGCCUCCCCGGCCGAUCAGUAUCGAAUUUGCCAUCACCUAUGACAAUGUCACCAAGAACUAUAUCCAAUCUUUCAUCCCCUUCAUCAAAAUCUACGAGUUGCAGUGACAGGUUUAUUCCUUGUAGAUCAUCAUCGAGGCUGCACACGUUUGGGCUGAUAGAGAAAGCGUCGCCAGUGAAGGACGGAGGAGGAGGAGGCAAUGAGGCUUAUUUGAGGUUGCUGAAAUCUGAGCUUUUUGGGACUGAUUUUGGUUGUUUUUCUUCUCCUGCAGGUAAGGGGUCACCACUGAGUCCAAACAAGAAUAUGCUGCGGUUUAAGACUGAGGUUUCUGGGCCUAAUUCUCCUUAUUCGCCUUCUGUCCUGGGGCAGGACAGUGGGCUUUCCGCUGAGGUUUCAACCCCUCCUAAACCGCCUCGAAAGGUUCCCAAGACACCCCACAAGGUAUACGACUUGCUUUAGCCUUCAAUUUUGAUUGUUAAAAAUUGUCAAUUUUGCAGACCCUAACAAUACUAACAUAAAUACGUGAAAAUCCAGCGAUAAAUUGUCAAAAAAGGAUUGAGAAACGUUAGCUUGGAAUUUUUAGAUUUUGUAUGUAUUAAGUAAUUGGGGAAGUGAGCAAAAAGGGUGGAGCAAAGUGCAUAGUGAUUGUUAAUCGACCAUGUGAUAGGCUGCCUAUUUACCUGGGGGACCCUCCUUUAAUCUACUCCUGAACACCAUUAGGCAAAAUUGUACUAAUUGAUUAUAGCGGUCUUUGGUUUGGUACAGAUUUUCAAUGCUUUUCCAUGUUCAUAAUACCGUCUGGAAAAAAGGAAUUGCAGCUUAGCAAUAGUUUGAUGGUCCAGAGAAUUUUCUCUGCUUUGUUACGCUAUUUUGGCUUGAUGUCUCAAGGAGGGCUGCCCUUCUGGUGGCUGUAGUUAAGCUUUUGCCCUUAUUCAUUUAACUUGAAGCAAAGAGUGAUAGAGUAUUGUUCAAUCAUUAAGGCCUCUACGACUGCAGGUUCUUGAUGCGCCAGCACUUCAAGAUGACUUCUAUCUAAACCUAGUUGAUUGGUCAUCUCAAAAUGUCCUUGCAGUUGGCUUAGGAACUUGUGUCUAUUUAUGGAGUGCCUCAAACAGUAAGGUGAGUUGAUGGUUAAAAGAUCUUAAUCUUCUUUGUUUCAUGAGGUUUGAAGUAUGUGAUUAUAAUUUGCUGCAAACAAGAAAGUAUUUAUCAAAAGCAGCAGUUACUAAUUUUCCUCUCAACUCCAUAUUUCUUUUUCCUUCUAAACCAUUUUAGGUAACAAAGCUGUGCGACUUAGGACCUAAUGAUGGUGUCUGCUCAGUCCAAUGGACCCGAGAGGGUUCCUACAUUUCAAUUGGCACAAAUCUUGGUCAAGUUCAGGUAUAAUGUUUUUUGUUCUUUCUUUUAAAAUAUUAGGGGAGGGGUAGUACAUCGUGCGCACCUUUUGAUGUCUCGCAUAUAAUUCGAAUUUGGACGCGACUGAGCAUUUAUAGUCCUAUCCUCAGGUUUGGGAUGGAACUCAGUGCAAAAGGGUCAGAACCCUGACUGGGCAUCAAACAAGAACUGGAGUCCUAGCAUGGAGUUCACGCAUAUUAUCUUCAGGAAGCAGAGAUCGGAACAUACUACAACAUGAUCUUCGAGUACCGAAUGAUUUUAUAAGCAAACUUUCUGGCCACAAGUCUGAGGUAACAGCCACAUUGUCAUUUGGCUGUAGAAACUCAAAUCUAACCAAUGAGUACUUCAAGGGAAUGUCAAGAUAGCUAACAUUUACUAAUGUCCCCCGACUCAGGUAUGUGGUCUUAAGUGGUCUCAUGAUGAUAGGGAACUCGCAUCUGGAGGAAAUGACAAUCAGGUAGGCAAGCUGAAUUCUUCACAUUGACAGAAGUAACUAAGCAAUGCUGUAAUACUCUUCUUUUAUAAGUGACGUGCAGCUUUUGGUCUGGAAUCAGCACUCCCAACAGCCAAUUUUGAGACUCACAGAGCACACUGCUGCUGUAAAGGCGAUUACCUGGUCUCCUCACCAGAGUGGGCUCCUCGCUUCUGGUGGAGGAACUGCUGAUAGGUGCAUUCGAUUCUGGAAUACUACCAAUGGCAAUCAAUUAAAUAGUGUGGAUACAGGAAGCCAGGUUUGUGGUAAAAAUUUUUAUGAAUAGCCAAGAGAACUCUCGAUUGCUUACAAUGGUUACGCUACCACAUUUAACUCCCAACCACCACCCACACCCAAAAAAAAAGAAAGGAAAAGAAGAAAAGAAAAACAACGUUUGGAAGUACCAUGCAGCGUAUCUUGAAUUUCCAGAGGGAUUUUGUGAGCUUUUCUUAUGUGUUCCAUACAUACCUGUAGGUAUGCAAUCUAGCAUGGAGUAAGAAUGUGAAUGAACUAGUCAGCACUCAUGGGUAUUCGCAGAAUCAAAUUAUGGUAUGGAAGUAUCCAUCAAUGGCAAAGGUAGUAGACUUCCUGGGCCAAUUUUGAACAAUCAAUAUUCUUUGAUUUUGAAGGAAACCACCCUGAAUAUGUUAUCCAAGCUCCAUAAAUUGUUUUUCUGCAUUGACUUCGACAGGUUGCAACUUUAACUGGCCACAGUUUGCGGGUGCUCUAUCUUGCUUUAUCACCUGAUGGCCAGGUACUGCAGCAUGAAACAGAAGGUCCUGUGAGAAUAUAUUUCUCUUGUGCAUAGUAAACAAAUGAAUACCACAACCUUUUUUUCCCACAGACAAUCGUGACUGGAGCAGGUGACGAGACAUUACGGUUCUGGAAUGUGUUCCCAUCUAUGAAAACACCUGUAAGUACCAAGUAGCCGUAGAACAGAAUUUUGUGAUCAAGAUAUGCUAUCAUUCAAGAACUUCCUCUUAUCAUGCCUUUCCAAACACGGCGCAUGCAUCUAACUAGUAAUCUUUCAGGCACAGGUGCAGGAUACGGGGCUUUGGUCUUUGGGAAGAACUCAUAUUCGGUGACAAUUUAGAAUAAUUGUUCAGGGUGCAAGCUGCUGGGCAAAAGGAGAUUUUAGCAAGCUGUCCAUAUGUUACUACUCGCUUGUUUUAAGUUGUCCAUCCCUUGCUUUUUCACCAACAGAUUUAUGGUUGAAAAGUUUGGCAAGAAAAAUGGAAUUCUUCUGAAAAAUUUUUUCAAUUCAUUAACAAAUUUUUUUUUUCAAUGCAUACAAUAAAUUCGUCUGAUCUUGCAAUUUUGCAAAAGAAAAAUGUAAAAACAUAGACCUAGAAACUAGCUUCCCAACUGGAAAAAUGUUGCAAUGCAUUUGUCACAUCAGCAACUAGAAUUCCUGUAUCUGAGUUAUCAUCAUCAUCAUCAUCGUGGUUUCAAAUGUGUGAGAAAUCAUUUUCAGCAUUUGUGUUGUAAUGGGAUGUUGGGGGACAUUUUCUGAUACAAUCCAGUAUGCAUGUUGGAUGAAUAUUUCCGUCCCCGUUACAUUUGUUAGCACACCCGGCGGAGCACUCCUCAUAGGCGCCCUCCGUACCGAUUUUUUCUUUAGGAAUUGGCGGGUCUGCUAUUGCCGCCGCCGCCACCACCAUCCCAAUUAUCAUCAGACCAAGAAAACUCAUCUUUCCGACUUCCAUUGGCUGCAUUUCUGUCAUCGUAGGCUGCAAAAAGAACAGGACACAUUUUCUAACACAACUCGGGAGACAUUUUAUACUUGAAAACAUUGAAGAACUUGCUUGUAAUUGAAUGUCUUUUGCAUGUAAAUCGCUUGCUCCCACGACCGGAUCCCUAGCAAUUCAAACAGUGGCACUAGAGGUGGCAAAAUGGAUAAAUGGUUUAUUAUUGGUUUUGACUUAAUGGAUGGUGGAUGAAAUUUAUCCAAUCCAUUUAGAUCCAUUUAUUAAAUGGAUGGAUCUAAAUGGAUUAAAUAAAAACCAAUUAUUCAUUUAUAAUCCAUUUAAAUAUUUUUGUUACUUUUUUUUUGUAUUACCAUUUCUUGUAAUAUGAAAAUACUUUUUUAUGUACUUGUAAAUUUUUGGUGUAUUUGGAUGAGAAAAAGGACAAAUGAAGGCAAGACCUGAUUGAUGAAGCCAAGACCUAAUUAUCACUGGUUUAAAAAAUGAGAACAUUGAGCAGCAUAAGACACCAGUAAAUGAACAAGUCCAAUUUGUUAGAUAGCGAAUUGAUAUCGUUGGGAAAAAGUAAUGGGUUUGCUUUAUAUCGUUUCUUAAAGAUAAUAGAAGGAAACCACGGAGCAGGUUCUUUCAAAGCUACAAAUAUAUUUGUUCGCUCAGAUUCGGUCGCCUCCAUUUUAGGAUAGCUCCUUCUUUAGUCAUUUUCUUUCAUUUGGUAUUUAAGUAAAUGGAUAUAUGUGGUUUUUGUAGGUAAUCCAUAUAAAUUCAUUUAAUUUAAUGGUUUUACUUUGGUCAACCAUUUAAAACCAAUACUAUAAAUGGAUAAUUCAAAUCCAUUUAAUUAUGGUUUAUAUGGAUGGAUAAAUGGAUCUCGAUCCAAAUUGCCACCUCAAAGUGGCACAACACGGAUCUAGGGCCAGGGAUUAAUUUUCGACGUCACGUCAAAUGUAGUUACGAUCAAUAUGUGUUAUAUAACAUUUUACAUUUUUCCCUUAUGUUAAUUAAUUAUAUUUUGAAGUCUAAAUUGUGCUAGUUUAGAAACGUAGUAGCAGUCUCGAACUUCUAAUUUUACAUCAAUAUCUCUAAUCUUAAUUAGAUCCAACGUUCUUUCGAAGUGUAAGAAUUAAGAAUUUUUUAUAUUAUUGAACGGACAAUAUAGAUGAGAAAAAGACUUGUCAAAAUUUUAAGGGAGCAAUGUCGACAAGAAAAAGAAUUUAAAAAAUUUUUGAAUGUGAAAAUAGGGAAUAGCUUAAAAAAUUUCCAGAGUUUCCGAACUUUAAAAAAAAAAAAAAAACUCUGUCAAAGUUGAGAGGAUGCAGUGCCGAUCCUCAAUUACAAUUUUUUUUUUAAGAAAAGAAAUACCCUCCACUGUGCCUAGAUGUGAGUGCAGGCGGUAAUGAUCAACCGAAUUCCAAGGCUCGUCGUCUACGGUAAUUUAUAUCUAUAUGUAUUCAAAAAGGGAUUUUUAGUAGAAACCUCUCAAUGACUUCUAAACUUCUCAUUCUUUUUUUUUUAAUUUUUAUAUUUAUUUUAAUACAUAAAAAGUAGUGGGUUAUAACCCACUUUAUCACCAAUCAAAUUUAAAUUUAAAAUAUUCUCAUUAUCUCUUAACUCAUUCUAUAACUACUCCUACAAAUUCUCUAAUCAUCAUCCCACGUUUUCCCCUACAUUUCCUCCCACGUUUUCCACUCCAAUUAAGAGUUUACUCCAACUAUCUCUUAACUCAUCCUACAAACACUCCUACAAAUCCUUUAAUCAUCAUCCCACGUUUCCCUCUAUAUUUCCUCCCACAUUUUCCAUUUCAAUUAAGAGUCCAUUCCAACUAUCUCUUAACUCAUCUUACAACCACUCCUACAAAUCCUCUAAUUAUCAUUUUAUUAACACAGUUUGACAGUAGUUUGAUUCAUAUUGUGGGAUAAAUUUGCUAAUGAUGAUGCUGAACGGUUAUAUCAGUCUGCUACAAAAAAUAUUAUUUUACUAGCAUGUGGUAUUUGCGUACGAAAUUUCAGAGGUAAAUCAAUUGCUUUUAGUUAUAUUCUAUAUAUUUUGAAUAGCUUUUGGCGAAUAUAACCAUACUAUGUAAGACCAUCACUGUGUACAAUUGGAUCUAGCAAAUUGUAUAUUAAUUACAAUUUAAAUUUUGCUCGAUACCUGCGCAGUUGGUGAGUUUCUCAGUAACACUAUAUCAAACUAUUAAUAUUGUUUCGUACUCUUAUUGACAUGUAUUUCAAAAAAAUUGCAGGUUUGAAAAUAAUACAUAUGCCCGCAAGUUAGUUACGUGGCUGAGAUCUAGCAAUUUCACAACACCACAAGCACCGUUGAUAGCAAAUUCAAAGAGAAUAUGGAAAUCUGAAUAUACAAUCAUACCUACGGUAAGCUUACUCUAUUUUAAUUAAUUACUGAAUGAAUUUUUUCAAUUUAUAAUUAUAACCUAUAUCUGCUUUCAUUCGUAUUAAAUUAAAUAUUUUCGAAUACUUGCUUACAUUCAGAGCAUUAACAUAAAAAAUAUGUUUUACGAGCUAUGCAAAAAUUGUGGACAACCAUAUGAAGGUCAUUUUUCAAAGACAGUGUGUAUGCAUUGUAAUAACGUGGUUGAUACGGUUAUUAGGUAAUUAAUUUCAUAUAUAUUUAACUUCAAUAUAUUUUUUUGUAUUGCAUAUAAUAUUUUAUUUGUCAAAUAGGUAUAAUGUUAACAUACAAAUCAAAGAUUUCAGUGGUAACAUGUAUUUUAAUCUACAAGAUAGACAUGCACGAUUUGUAUUUGGUUGUGAUGUUUCUUAUUUCAGAGAAUUACAAAGGAAUGUAGAAUUUCUUAAUAUAUAUUUAUUUUUUAUAAUAAUAUUUAUAAAUUAUAUAAAAAAACACUAAUUUCGUACGUUCUUAAUUAUCAGGAAAAUGGUGAUAGGUUGUUCGACCAAUGAAUUAAUUCAUGCAAAGAUCGUGCAUUUUCAUUUGUAGUACGCACUCCACAAAAUUCAACAAAAUUAAUUAAAUCACCAAUUUUAGCAUUCGUACUAAAAGUGGAUUGAUGUGAAGAGCGUUCGCAUCUACAAGUAAGAUUAUCAAAUCGAAUGCUUAGUAUUUGUAAGUAUUUCAUUUUAACAACAUUCAAUUACAUUUAUUUGUAGAAAUAUAUCAUUCCCUUUUUUAAUAUAAAUUUUUAUUUUUUUUUCAAGAUCCAUCUUUCGAAAAAAGACAGUUUUUGAAUGAUAUACACAUUCUAUUAUAUUUUAAACUAGUAUUAAACAGAUAUUAUAUUUUAAUUUUGUUGGUACAAUUUUUUCACCUUUAUUUGUUCAUCAUUUUAUUUUUAUUUUUUUCAAUAAUAUCAGUACCGUGCAUAGUACGGGUAUUCACACUAGUGAUUAAUUAACCAGAGAAUGGGAAAAACAUUUUUUUUUAUAUAUUUGUUUAAGAAAGCAAAUAUGCGACAUGGGAUAAGAGAACGAUAGCACAUCAUCAUCAGGAGCUAUAAUCCGGAAAACAGAUGUAACAUCUCCGAUCCUGUUUGAAAGUACCAAAAUUCCACACAUUAUCAAGUGAUGAUGUAACCAAAAGCCCAAAUGCUAUUGGCCACCACCAAGCCCUCAAGGUUUGGUGAAGGUUUGGUGGGAUAGAGGUCAAGGAUUCAAAUCUUGACUCUCAACAAUUGCCACAAUAUGUGAUCUCCAUCUGGCUAUCAAUCCCUCGUAGGUAGGUAGGCGACAAUGCAGUAAACUUGCAAUGUAAGAGUUAUUAAGUUGGGUAUACUGAUUAGGCCUAGUACUUGUGUAACACAAAAAUAGUUUUCCACCACGUCCGUUUACCAUUAAAAUUUCUCAUGCAUGAAUAAAAAUUGAGAAUGCCCAAAGAACACAUCUUGGCUUUGCACAUAUAAAAACGGGACGUGCAAUUAAUUGCCCUGCCUCCUUCAUCAAUUGAAAAGCAUCCCGGAUGGCAGAGCAGUGGAGCGUGGAGGACAAGUCUGAACACACUCGUCUACACAUGUUUGGUUGAGAAAUCCUCUAGAAGUACAGGUAACAUAACAUUUGUAGCGGCAGCACUGAUUUGGUGUAUCUGGAACGCAAUGCAUGAGGCAAUUGUUUGCACAGGUUUCGUUGAUGAAUCCCCACGAGAACAGUUCACGUCGCAUUUGUAUCGGCAGCAUUCAUCAAGCGGCACAGCCUCAACUGUUGAUGAUUCUUUGUCCAUCACUGACCGUGCUACUAUUGCCACUGUCAACAGUGUCAUGAGUUCUACAGCAAUCUUCCCUGCCUCCAUUUUUAUCUACUGCUAGUUCUCUUCUUUGUGACUCGCUAAAGAUAAUUCAUACUCUAUAUAAUAAAGAAAAGGGUUCAAGAAGUUAAUUCCAAGAUUUGGGCAUUUAAUUGAGUAGCUUUGAUGGCAUCAAAUCAAUUACACUUCAUAUGAGCAGUGUACAAAUACCUUGCAUACAAUAUGGUACAAGGCAACCUUGUGUAUGUAUUUCAGGCAGUAAAUCUUGUUAAUAAGUUGGCCAACAAACUAUGGUCAGUGGGGACACUAACGCGUACUUAUUUGAGUCUAAAUCGGUUCUCAAAAAACUGAGGAAAGAUUGUAAAUGUAUUUCUUUUCACAUUAUUUUACAUUCCUUCUUUACCUAAUUGUUAAUGCCUUUUACAACAGGGAUUAAUGCUAAUUUGAUUUUGUUUCUAUUUGAAGAUUUUGGGGUGUGUGUUAGUUCCUGUAGAGUAAUUAACAAAAUUAAAUUGGGGGGAGAGGGGUGUUUGGGACAACAGCCUACUUUCAACAACGCUAUUGCUGGCUAACCAUUUCUACGAAAUUAAAAGCCAGACAUGCUAAUCUUUUCUAGCAAUGAUGCUUUGACCUUUCUGUAUUUUGUUUUGGCAUUUCACAAAAAGGACAUACUUAAGGUUAAUCAAAUAAAAAUCCAUGUCCUUAAGAUCCAUUGCAGUUGAAAAGCACAUUAAUCAGGUAGUCUUUCCUUUUUCCCUUACCUCUAGUAAUGAAUUUCUUUUCAUGAACAUUAACCUCGUUAACAAAUGUAAAAAAAAUUUUUGGCAGCUAGACCACAAUGGAUAGGGUAAAAGUUGGAACAAAAGCUUAACUUCAGAUCAUGCAUGUUCUCUCUUGAUAUCCGCAUUAAAUUUCUGACAUGACGUUAUGUCUUGUACCUGAAAAAUUAACCAACGGCCAUUUUGAAUUAUUGACCACCACAAAUGCCUUUUAAGUUUUUUGUGAUAGAGUUUUUGGCUAAAAUAAUCUACUUUUCAAAAAAUAAUUUCAAAGUAAUACUCUUUCAGAUUUUAUUCCCUUAUUAAUUUAGUUAUUGCCAUGUAGACUCUCCAUCAAAGGAAAAAAAUAACUUGUAAAUAUUUUGUUUAUAUAUUACACAGUUUUUCUUUAUUUAGUGCCUUAAGGACAUUCUGUAAACAAAUUAAAAAAGGAAAGUGGAUCCACAAUUAGUGUUUUAAAAUUGUUGAUCACCCUCCAAAUUACAAUGAUUUUGCCGAAGAACUUUUUUUUUUCUGCCAUUAUUCCUCCCUAGCUUUGUUCUUGACUAUUAUAUCACAAGUUCCUUUCUUUUUUUCUUGUUACUUGCAAUUCUAUAUAUGGUAGUCUUCUAAGUUUGUAUAUUUUAAGAAGUUUCAAGAUAAAUAAUAAUCAUAGUUUACGUGAACUAUAAAAAUUCCACUAUAAGGGGAAAGAAAAUUUGAAAAAAAUUCUCUUGCAUUUUUUGACUUAUAUCAAAAGACAUAUACAUUCCAAAAAAAUAGGAGAGAGAAAAUAUAACUAGCUCAGUGUUAGUAUCAAAAUUAACACGCUAUAUGAGCCAAUCUAAUGUGAGAAACACUGAUUAACUCAAUAAUAGAUAGAGAAAUAUUUUUAUUUAUCUUUAGAAUUGUACAUAAGUAGAAAAAUUUGAAUUAUUGAAAAGUUAUUAAAAAUCUAUUGACGUGGAUUGUACCUCUUAAUAUAAGAUGGAAAUGUGAAUACUUUCCAUACUCAAAGUCCGUAUGGCAACAAGUAGAUUAACAAGGGAAUAUAUUUUGAAAGUGCAUUAAUUUGGAAAUAGUUUCAAAGAAUGAGGUUAUUGUAGAAAUAGACUCUUUGUGAUAUGAGAGGUCAAGGAUUUGAUCAUUACCUCUUAUUACUUGUCACUAAAAUAUGACUUCUCUAAAUCUAAACGAGUAUAUGAUUCGAUAGUAAUUUAGUUCUCGUCGUUCCCCAUGACUCAAUUGAGCCCUCACUUAGACAGAUCAGUUUAAUUGUAGGAAUAGGAAUAAUAUAGAAAGCAUGAAUUGAUUAAAAAAAAUGAAAAAUAUUUAUCUAGACCCAAUCUUGUGGAUCAUGUAUGGUCUCACUGACGAACCCUUUAGUGGCCUAUAAACUAUACAAGUUUUUUUUAAUCAAUUAACAACAUUUAUUCUAUCCAUCUAAAUAAAAUGGGUGUUUUGAUAUCGUUCUUUGAAUUCUUUUAAUUGUAGGGUGCAAGAUUUGAACCCCAACUUACAACUCAAAGAGUGAUUUUAAAUCCUUUUGGUGUCCAUAAAAUCAAAGAUAACAAAAUGUGCCAAACUUGCUUUCCCCCUAGAAAAAUGAAAAAAAAAAUGUUAAACUUUAGUUAUCAACGAUCUUAAUCCUUGGAACAUUGCGUUUUGAGUUGAUUUGCAAUUUUUUUUUUUUUACAAAAAUUAAAGGGAGGAAACUAAGGCUUUAUUUAUCAUAUGAUCACUAAUACAAGAGACCGAAAUUUCAAACAGCACAAAAGCUUAUCCGUAAAGCUUAUUUUCCGAAAGAAAAAACUAGCCAGACGGCUUUGCAUGAGAUGCCGUUGCAAUGGAUUCUGGAGGACACUUCUUGAGACAAUUCUCCACACAUUGUUCAUUGAUAAACCCACCAAAAUCACAGGCAACAUCGCAUCGGAAACGGCACUCGGAGCUUGGCGACUCCUUGCCGAUGGGUUCGCCGUCCACUGCUGAGCUUGCCAUUGCCACCGUCAACAGUAUAGUCAGACCUACGCUUACCGUUCUUGCCUCCAUUUGAAGUAGCUCUCUUUUUAUUACUCCUCUUUGCCUAACUUGAGACAUCUGAUAUGAUGACCACGAGGUAUUUUAUACUUUCAACACAAGAUGCAAGAAGUUAAUUCAAAGAUUUGAGCAAUGUAAAUUGAAUAAUUUUGGAUAAUGUCAAAUUUAAUGAGUAGAUUCUGACGCGUGAUAUUAUCUUUACAUCUAUAUAUUUUAUCCUAACAAUAUAAACAUGCAAAUCGGUUGGAUGAACAGUGAAUUUCGUCUCCUAUCAACACCAUUAGUGUGUGGAUUCUUUGGUCAUUUCACACGGAUUUUAUGCUAAUGGGUUGCCACGGUUGCACAUAUUUUUUGGCUGCAAUUCGUUGAUACCUUUUUCCUGACCAUGCUACCCUUGGAUGUCACUUUUACCCCUGAUGGAGUAAUUAUCCAAAAGAAAUAGAGUUGGCUUUAUGGUAUUUUGGUUCGGUCCAACUCUUUCAGACACCUGCUGUAUUAUGACAUGGCUAAGCUUCCAAUUUUCCGGUGCGGCUAAUUUAAACCGCUUCGCACAUAAAGACUCUUUUAUGUUCCGAUGAAUAGAUUAUUUCUGCACAAGUCUGCUUCCAAGAUAUCUGGAUCUUUUCCAUAUAGUUAUCUAUAAGGUUAAAUUAUUUUUGUUUUGCUAAAAAAAUGCCAAAAAUGUGGGCAUGAAUGAAUGUAUCACAAACAAGUAGAAAACUUCGGCAAUAAAACCAGUGAUCUGCAUUGAUGACUAACCACGCGAUUCAGGGUGCUCAGGUAUAAAGAUUGAAACUGUUGCAAGUUUUUGUGACCAUGGCACAUUAGAUUUUUAGUUGUGACUAUGACCAUAUUCUAAAAUCUCCUCACUUUUUGAAACUUACAGAGAAGGAAAAUGAGGACAAAAGGUAUGUUACUUGUCCUUGCGAGUUCAAGAUACUAACAUAGCAAAUAUCUUGUGGAUUUGGAAAUGCUCAAGACAAUUAGUAUCACAGGCAGACUAAAUCAAGGAAUUAUCAAGUUAAUCACAUUGCUAUACAGUUCGUUCAUGCCAUGCUUCAUAAUCUUUGGGAAGAUUUUAUAAUAAAAGCUUAACAAGUAUUAAUGAUAUUUGCCAUAUGCAAGAAAACCUCUUUUUAUGGUUCUUUGUCGUUGCUUAUUUUGUAUUCAUUUUAGACUUUUACAACCAUUUAUCAUUUUUUUUUGUUUUCAGAACUAAAAUCCUAUUGUUUCACUUUUUCCUCCGCCACCAAAUAGCAUUUCUAUAGAUGUACCAUUUUCUUGGUUGAACAUUAUAGCUAUGGUUCCUUUAAACAUUGGUUAGGUAAUGCAAUCAUGUCCCCUUAUUCAGUUUUGCUUGCUUUCUUUUUCAAGUUUACACAAAUAGGAAACCAAGAAUAGCCAUGGAAGGAAAGCAACCAUGAUUUCUACCCUCUAUUGUUGUUCUCCUUACCAGUUGUUUCAUCUAAGCCACUAUCAGUACUGUGACCUCUGCCUCAAUCUCUGCUCCCACUUCAGCUCAAGCUAACUGAGCUCUCAAAGAAAAUAGAGAGCCAACUAAAACAACACAAAGCGAAAGGAACCUGCAAGCAGCAAAAAUCCACUAAAGCAUGCAAAACUAGAAUAAAUGCCCUCUUCAUCCCCAGCUUCAAAAGCCUCCAACUGUUGUUAUCAGCCUUUGCAGACCAAAGAAUAAAAGCAGCAGAGACUCCACUCUUUUGUCAAGGUUAUAUUUUGGGUACAUGUCAAAUAUGGCACAUGGUUUAAAGCUCAGAACAACUGGAAGGGUGAAAAAUAAAACUAAACCAUGCCGUUUGCACUAAAUCCACAUAUCAUCUACAACGUUGCCUCGAGCUCUUCCAAGUAGGAUCGAAUACACUAUUGCCAACAAUUUGGCAUACGCUAAUCUAUGAAUUUCUGCAUUCUGUUCACAUUUGUAUUCAUGCUCUAUUAAAUCCAGAAGAAACAAGCAGCGUCAAACAUCUCAUUUUUUCAAAGACAAUAAUCCUUGGCAAAUCAAGUAUAUUUCUCUGGAGUAUGACCUCGUAGCUUUAGGUCUCAACCAUGCUGCCUUUUGAAAAGGGGUUUGCAGAUGUGGCUAAAAUCUGCAAAGCAAAUGAUAAUACUUCAUAAGUAUAUUAUACGCAAAUUACUUCAGACCAAUAAGAAUAAACUGCUCUGAGUAACAGGAAAGCAACCUUUAACAUCUUCACUCUCCAAAAGCUUUACAACAAGGUGGCCUCCAGGCAGCAGAAUCCCACGAUGCUCUGGAUCAGAACCAGAGACAUCUGAUUGUUCCUUUUGUUCAACACUAUCAUCAGCUUGCACCAAGCCAGCCUCCCCAACAGCCAAUUCAAGUGUUCGCAUGCCCAAUUCUGCAGACAAAGCUGCAUCCCUAGCUCUGAUCCCAGAAACCAGCGGACACAUAUCAGACACAAUGACUGAGAACCCUUUUUGCUGCACAAAAUUGGAACCAAUUAAGGACCAGCUAAGGAGUUUGCCUCCAGAAAGCAUAGAGCUGACUCACAGAUAUCAUCACAAAUGCAACUAUGUCAUGAUGUCACAUAGAGCUGCAGAAUACAAGGACAUCUACAAUGCCGAGAAAGAGAUGUGCAUGUGCAAAAUAAGGAGAAAAUUUCCCUUUGUCUACAAACAUAAUUAUUAUUGCAAUGCCAGAAGGUUCCGGGCCCCAAAUCAAAUUAGUAACAUAAUUCUUGGCAUGAUAUAAGUAGCAUAUUUCUUCAGCAAUCACUACAAGUAUUUACUCUCGAGUCCAUAUGGUACAAGCAAAGAAAACAGACGUCUAGAUUGCAACUAGGAAGACACAUUUCUUGCCCAAUAACUCCCCAAUUCACUGCAACGUUGUUAUCAACUCUGUCCAAAUAUUGGGUACUCCAUCUAUUAUCAUGGAAUCCGUUGAGAGAAGGCCAAAACUCAGCUAACUCUAGAGAGGGAGGAUCAUCAUAGAUUCUUAAUAUAUACUCUGUUCUUCUUAAUCAGUGACGAAGAUGACCAAUGCACUUUCUAACUCAAGAAAAGAAUCAAAUAAAUUUUCUAUUUCAGUUAACCACAAUAUAUCAGAAGUCAGAACUGCAAACAUGAAACUCAAUUUUUGACAAUACCUUGGGGGAGAGAGCCCUAAUUUGAUCUUUGGGUAAGUUCAUUACAUCAGCACAAACAGUCUGAACCCUUGCAUCACAAUGCAUUGACGGAACCUUCACCUUCUGCUCUGCACCACAGCCAUAACUCUCAUUAAGUCACAAUCUCUCAUUACCCCACAAGCUUAACGAAACUACCAGCAUACAUUCACAAAAUAAGUUUCACAAAUACACCAAGAUAUAAUAAAGAUUGGAACUUGACAGUAACCUUAAGAUCGAUCCCCACAACAGCCCCGCCUUUCUGUAAUGGUCCCAAGCUCUGGCAUGCCACCUGCAUCGCAAUUACAGAUAAAUAAUCCUAAAAGCCAUCCAAGAAGCCCACUUUUUUCUUCAUCAAUCCGAAAAAAACACCUACUUUAGAUGAAAAGAAAGAUCAAACUAUCAAAAAGAAAAACGGUAGAACCUGAAGCCAAGCACCAGGAGCACAGCCCAGGUCAAGAACAGAAGAACCAGGCGUUAUCAAUUUGUACUGUUUCUGCAUUUGCAGCAACUGCCCUUCCCAUCACAGAAUUUGUAGUUUUUCAAAAUGUCAGAGCAUGACCAAAUCCAACUACCAAAUGGGUUUUUCUCGUAAUGUGUUUAAGAUUACAAAUUUCAUAUUCAAUUUGUUCUGGUAGCAUUUCAUAUCCAGUUUUAUGAUCUCUUCAUUUUUAGCUCUUUUGUGGGGAAAAAAUUCAACAAAAUUUACAGAAGUGGGGAAGGAGAAAAAAUUGAACUGUACCUUGAAGGCAGAGCGAGCGACAUAGCCAAGGCGUUGAGCUUCUCUGUAGAAGAAAUCGGGCGAUCCUGCUGCUCCACUCAUGGUUCCUCUCCUUUUCUGCUUUUGCUGCUACAUCCUUCUUGGGGGUUUAAAAUAGGGCUUAUGGAAAUUAUUUACGUUUUGAGACUUGAAAGUCUGGGGCGGGGUUAGGGAUGUAAUCGAACCGGGCUACUAGCGGAUGUAAUCGAACCGGGCUAGGAUGUAAUCGAACCGAGCUACUUGCGAGUAGCUCGGUCAAAAGCUUGACUCGAACUCGGUCAAAUCGAGUUCGAGUCGAGUUCGAGCAGCUCGAUAAGGCUGUCGAGUCGAGUUCGAGUAUCCAGAAGCAAUGCUCGAAGGUUCGACGAGCCUUAUCGAGUAUUUUAAUUUUAAUUAUUUAAUAUUUUUAAUUUUAAUUAUUUAAUAUAUUAUUAUUAUAAAAUUACCCUUAUACCUAAAAGAAUUAUCGAAUUUACGAAAUGUUUCAAGUCAUAUAAAAAUUUUAAAAGGACAAUAAUGUCUUUUUGCUUAAAAAAUAUUAAGAAAAUAAAAUUUAAUAACUCGAACUCAAACGAACUCGAUAAGGCUCGAAUGGAUUCGAGCUCAUGCGAGUCGAGCUCGAGUACUGCGAGCAAGCUUCGAACUCGAGCUCGAGCACCCUAACUGUAUGUCGAGUCGAGCUCGAGUAUGGCGAUACUCGAGCUCGACUCGACUCGAUUACAACCCUAGGUGGGGCUAGUCGAUGUUGGAUCAGGUCCGAAGAAAAAGUAACACAUGCUACUUCAAACUCAACUUGGAGGCCCAAACGCAGAAUUGGAGUUGCUAGACUCCAAUUGCAAUAAAUUAUCACAACUUGUCUUUUUGGUACAAAAAACAGGUUCCAAGAUUAAAUUUGAAUUGUAUUAAGAUGCAUCUUCCUUAGUAUUAUUCUGCAUAACUGGCCAUUUGGAUAGCUCGAGCUGUCCGCUCCCCCUCCUUAGGGUAUGGUGACCUUUCUGACUUGUCCGGGGUUCGAGUCCUAUUGUUAACAUGCUCGGUGUGGAGUGGGGCCCACGGGAUAGCUCGAGCCGUCCGCUCCCCUCCUUAGGGUAUGGUGAUCUUCUUGGCUUGUCCAGGGUUCGAGUCCCGUUGUUAAUGUGCUCGGUGUGGAAUGGGACCUCCUCUCCCGGGCCACAGGGGAUUAGUCGGGCCCCGUAAGAAUUGACCCGGACAUCCCUGUGUUGACAAAAAAAAAAAAAAAGUUAUUAUUCUGCAUGCUAUAUUAAAUGGGAUGUAAAUAAAAGAUCGAUGGGCUACCUAUGCUAUUAGGUGCUUAAAAUGAAAAAAAAAAAAAAACGCUAUUUCUGUAUUCAAGGAUGGAGGGGCCACCUUCUACUCAGAGCGAGCAAUUGCACUCCCUUAAAUUUCAUGUUGCAAAUAUUAAAUAAACAAUUAAUAACAAAAUUUUGUUAUUAAAGACACAUAAUCUCAAAUUGAAUAAAAAAAAAUUUGUUUUUGACAUAAUGGCAACAUCAUUAUAAGCGUACAAUUUUGUCUCUAUUGACUAUAGGUCAAUAGACUCCAUCCAUCAUUGUUCAUAUCUCAAGAUUUUCUUGGAAAAUGGCUCUAGUUUGUUAAGAGCUGCUAGAAACAUACACGCUUCAAUGAACAUAUAUUAUUUAUGACCCAUCUUAGGUCAGUGUUAAUACAAAAUUUAGGACAAAGCAUAGCCCAAAAUUGAAAGAUCCUUCCUGCGCGCACUGCCCAAAAUUGAAAGAUCGGAUCGGACCAUUUGCAUGCAUGACUUGCUGAGAUCGAUCUUGCUCAAACACUUCUCUAGUUAUGGCCAUUAUGUUAUGGCAGGUAGCCUCUAUCGUGGCUAGUCAAUGGGCGUAACUAGGGAUAGGGGAAGGUUCCUCGGGUGUUUUUGAGUAGGGAUGAUAUCUGCAUUGCAUGUUGUUCUCCAUCACCAAUAAUAUUUACAAUGUCGCUGAUGUCUUCAAUGUUACGUUUGAGAGGGUUUGUUUUUUUUUUUUAAUUUAUUUUUUAACUGAAAUCAGGGAUUAUGAAUUAAUCAUUUAGAAGCUUGAAUACUACUAUAUAAUUUGCACGACAUCUUUACAAGCUUUUUCUCUUUUUUUUUUUUAAAAAAAAAAAAAAACUUAUAUCCACGGAUCAAGUGCUGGAUGGCUACUUACUAUCAUUUAAAGAAAGAAAGAAAGAAAAAAAACAAGUGCUGGAUAGCUGAAUAGUUAGUAAAAGUUGUUUAAUUAAUUAGGUAAUCUAUGUCAACACGCACGUAUGAUCACGAAGUCUAUAAACUUCUAAUAUUUUAGAUAUAGCAUUCCUUUAUUAUUAUUGUUAUUAUUAAUUUUGUUUUUUUAGCCUAGUGGAUGAACAGAGAAGAGUGGUUAAUUAGUGACGCACAUUAAAAACAUAUUAUUAUUGUGUUGAGAAGGCCUCAAAAAAAGACACAAAUGCUAAAUCACACAAGAAAGUUGGGGAACGUCUUUUGGGUCUCAUGAGAAUGGUGCGCACUGACGUUAGUAAAACAAUUAAAUUGAUGGUUCCAGAAGUUGGUCAAACGAGUUGUAUAGAUUGGCAAAUAAAAUACUCACUCCACAACAACUUUCAGAUGCCUCACUGACCACUGGUAUUGUGGCUGCGAGUCUCCCCCGACGUUACCAUUGUACUGCAGCAUUGUUGCCAAAAGUAUGCAGUACAAAACCACUAAUAAUCAUUUGGGGUCAUUCAGAGAGCUUUAAAAUUUUAUUUGGAUGUAUGUCAAACGAUCAAAUUCCUUGAUUUACAUACUGAACAUCCUGAAAAUAUUUCAUCAGCGGAUACGUAGGUAUCCAUUUACGCCGGUAGUAGCCAGUCCCCUCCGAGUUCCUCGCUCGACCCCUUUGAAUUCCCCUUCUUCCCCUAGUAUAGAGUACGAGCAAAUGUAAAAUAGAAUCUAUUGUGUCCGAUUAAAAAAAAAACCCUAAAGCAAUGAAGCAGUGACACGCUUUAACAGUCAAAAUGGAGCCUUUCAAAGAUGGCUAGUACUAGUAGUAGUGUUUAUGUUUCCUGGAUUGUGAGAUGAGUAACGCGUCUCCGCGUUUAGCAAGAAUUCUAAUGAGUGGUCUGCCAAGUCUACCUAUUGGAGCGUUAUCCGCAGGCUUAGUCUAAACAGACGGUAAUGAAAAUGCUGAUCUUGUCGGCGCAUACAUUACAACUUUCAAAAUACAUAUACUAGUAGUAGCCAAUCCAAUUGAUGCAUGAUUACACGGUGCAUUGGUUUGUUAAAUCGUCACGUGAGUCUAUUCCAAGAUUUGGAAUGGAACAGAAACAGUUGGAUUCAGGUAUGCACCUGCUUCAACUAAAGAGAAAACAUACAAGUCAAUUGCUUGUGCAAGUGAACUGGAUGUUUCCACUCGUCCUCAAAGAAGCUGACUGAAGCGAGCCAAGACAGCAUAUCUGCCCCUAAAAACAAGAAACAAGCACUAAUUUUUAAGAACAUGAGCAGUUGAAUCAAUGUGAACUUCUUCAUAAGGCAACAACUAUGAAAGUUAAAAGGCCCUCAGAGUUCCAUGAACAGUUGGAGGAGGAUGUUAUUUUGGCUGUCUGGCAACAAAAAUUCUAAAACAAUCUUUUACCAUUUUCGUUCACUGAACUUGACUGCUAAUUACAGAUACCAGAGAAUGCAUGUAUAAAAGCUCUCCAGUUCUACUUUAUUUGACUACUACGAAUCUUGUCACACAGGACAAGCAUGGAUGUCUGUUAUAGGAAUCCUAUGACAACAUAACACUGCUUCUAGUCAUUCUAUGUCGACUUGACAACCGCUGGAAUUUCCAAUUUCUAGUCCCCGUAGCAGGAUAUACCAAGACAAGAAUUGGGAAAUCUGCUUCCAAUUAGCUUCUUGAAGAACGAAGAAUAAAAAACAAUCUCGAUUAUAUCGCAUUAUAUAUGCUGACACUGAUAAUUUGCUGAAGUUGAGAAGUUUUUCACAUCUAACCAGAAAGUCCAGAAGUUGAUCAGUACCUCGUCUUCAAAAACUAAUGCAUGUGUGCAAAAAUAAGAUUUGGAGGAUUCGAUGAUAUCUGUCAUUUCAAGAAUAAUAACCAACAAAUUCAAUCAGCUGGCGUCCAAGAAGAGAGAGCAUACAGAAUUCGUCCCUUCCAACCCUGCAACAGCCACUGGCUAUCCUCGUCAAUCACAAAAUCCUUGUCAUAGGACUGCCCGUUCUUUUGCCAUCCUCAUGAUAUCCUCGUUCAAUGGAAGCUGUCUGAAUCCUGCCCGUAAAUUUCGAACCAGCCAUUGCUUGUAAGUCUCUGGUCGCUCAACGCGCUCAGCAGCUUCACAUGCAAUGACAUUCAUUGCCUCUCGUCCAAAUAUUGUUUUCUCAAGCAGCAUUCUUUCAUGAAUUUCACGGGGAACAUUAGCCUCUAGCAUAUCAAAGAAAGAAGAAUAAUGAAAUAGAGCCUCUCGGAAUCGAGUGACAAAGAAAGGAGCAUUAUAUGCACCGUUGACUAUCCCUAGCACGAAAACGUCCGGUUUCAUCUUCCGAAUGAGGUUCAAGACGAUGUUUCGCGGACUAUUCACCACAACAGUCUCAUCGAGUAGAUUCCUCAUUCUAUAGAGACAGUUCACGGCAAGCACCUCAUCUUCACGGAUCUUCAGAUCUUCAAUCCUAACAGUUUCCCACUUCUGUGCUAUAGCAACGAACUCAAACGGCACUUUGAAAGUCUCAGCAUAAUUAGCCAGACGGCGACCUGUCUCCUCAACCCUCUCUGCUGGUCGAAAUCCAGGAUGUGGAAGAUCAAUCCCCGUGAUACGAAGUUUGGGAGGGCCACCUGAUCUAGAUGAGAGGCGUUGUAUGAGGCAUGGCCACUGGAAACCAUAUAGAAUACCAAAAUCAAUUAUGUGUAGCGUUGAGCCUUUCUCAGCAGCAUGCCAAAUCGUCUUAUUGGAGAAGAAAUUAGAGAUCUUCCUAAAUGGGCAGGCAGCAAGAUAAAGCUGGUAAGCUUUUAAGACAUCAGCAGCUGAUGUAGGCAUGGUAAUAAGGGCUUUGUAGAUCUGAGUGCCGGAGCCAGCCAUACGUGCUUCAAGACCAUCAGCGAAAUAUUUGGCCAAUCGUUGCAUCCCAUCCCCAGUUGGAGAACAAUGUUGCCUAAUCUGCUUCAAAAACUCAUUUGCAGUCCUUCGAUCAUCAGCAGCAAUCGCUUGAGCACAAAGGGUCAAGAGGGUUCUCAAAUCGACCACGUUCCUUUUGCCCUUGUUUCUUGCUACGAGAUUUCCCACCACUAGAACCCUUCAAUUUAUUGUUCUGUGGAACAUUUUUAACCGCCAUAUCCUGUAAUGCUUUACGGAGAUCAGACUCAUUUCUACCUUCACUGCAUAACAGCACCUUAUCAAACAGAUCCGACCUCACAGUUGAUUCAGUGAACACAGCUGACUGCUUGUUACUCCUACCUCCCUGUUGUUGCAAAUCUUCAUGAAGUGGAUUUUUCUUCCCCCUCGACUCAUCAGGUGAAUAUCCAUUUUCACUCCUCUCUACCUUGACAGUCAUAGGCCAUUUUUUCUGGACCUUAUCCAACAACCCGUUCUCUGGGAAUCAACAAGCAAAGCAUUGCCAUUAGGAAGGAAUUUGCUUGCUUCCUCAACCCCCUUCUUAAAUUGCAUAGCAGACUGGCUAUCACUAAAUAUAUCAGAAAUCCUAAGGAUACUAUCAGGAGAAUCGAUAUGCCCAUCAGCGACAGUCCCACUGCUAUUUGAUGAACUGUAGGGUGAGAAAUGUUGUACGUAAGUAGAAUCCGAUCCACUAGUAUCAUUAUUCCAACUUGGGCACCAAAUAAGACCACCAUAACCCCCAGGAUAGCUUUCCUCCCUGCUUGAAACCCUCAGAUUCGAACUGGGGACCUGAUGAUCAGGUGGAGGAUACUUCUCGCCAAGAACAUCAUAGAAUGAUUUUUCCGCCGCUUGAAGAGCGGCCGACUCUUGAAACAUACACCCCUUAUCCUCCAUCUCCUCUUCCAUAAGCAUGUCAUUUAUAUACUUAAGUACCGCAUCACUAAAAUCAUAAUCCUCGUUCGAAUCACCGCUUGACAGGGGAACAAAUACAUUUGGAUAUAGGUGAGAUUGGACUGACAAACGGGAAGCAUAAUUUCGUUCGACUACAUUACCAUCGAGUCUUAAACUGCCAAUCAGAUUGGGAUUAGGAACAACAGAAACACCUUCAUCAUUAAGCUCAAUUCCAGAGGUGGUCCCAUAGCCCACUCUUGAGUUUCCAUCCAUAACCAUGGAUUUUUUGUCAGCAGCAAUACUUUUUAACUCCU
rnacentral:lncRNA from 1 species